CGAACUUUUCCUGGGAAACUCUCAGUGAGGAACCGUUACUUUUCCUGCUCUAAUAGUGGGAGCAGCUCAUGAGAACACUGGGGGAGCCCCAGGCACAAAGUUCGAUUUUUUUUUUAACCAAACAGCAGAUUAUCAUGGACCUUAUUGUCUGCUGUGGACCCACUGUGUAAAGAACAAUGGAACAACAGGCUGUAAAACGAAAAGAAAGGGUAAGUGUUAUAUCUACUUUUGUUGACUUUGUUAUUUAACGCCUGAAGUGCUGGGGGUAAUGGAAGUAAGACUAGAUUUACACUCAGCAAUGUUAGAAGUGUGUGCAGCCCAGGCUGGCUCUUGGAAGACUUGUGAAUAGACAUAUUAAAUAAGAACGUUUUGUUGCACUACAUAUGGGGGAUUCCUAUACCUUUGUAUAUAGGCUGAGCCCCCCACAACUACCUCACCUCAAACUUUCACUUGAAACAAUAAAGCCUCAAUACAUAAUCAUUUUUUCCUAAAGCCUCCUUGGAGUCUUGUGGUCAGUGGUUAUUGCCGGAGGUCAGGCCAUCAGGCCACAUAGGUCUGCUUUGAUAACUGCAUGCUUUUUAGAGACUGAUCCUUCUGGCCUGCAUGUUAUCAAGCAGAGGGGGGAGGACGCCUCAUUGUGAGUUUAGGUGGUGGUCUGGUAAGUUUAAGUGCUGCAGGCAGAAGCAUGGAGCUGCUAAUACCAAGCACAGUUAUGACAGGGAAAUAACACAGCAGCCUUAGUUAUGUCUGGGAUUGUCCUGGGACCUGUUAGUGCACAGCCAAGGUCAGUGGCUGGGGAUAGCACAGAAAGGUGUGAUGUGGGAGGGGUUUGAAAGGAUGGGUAGUGUGGAAGUUGGGACAAUUAGGCAGAUGACAGGAAAGAGGAUAUUUUUACAUUGUGAGGAGGUGAGGUGUCACAGAGAGUGCACACUGAGACCCAAUUAAAGGGACAUUAGUAUAGAUAGAAAGCUGCAUGUGGGCUGUUUGUGAACAUAUUGUUGCAGUCCUGCAGGAAAUCUGGGUUCUGUCCAUUAUAUUUUUAAUUUUCUACAAUAGAAUGGUUGAUGGAUGGAUGGAUGCUGGAUAUAUUAAGAUUUACUUUGAAGAGGGAGCAGCUACUUUGUGGGCAAUUUUACAGACUUUUCUAACAGUAAAUACAGCACAAAAGUUCACCAUAAACCAAAGAAUAAUAAUCAUCAUAUAAAUGUAUUUAAAGAAACACUUCAAGAACCAAAACCAUACAGCGCACUGAAGUGGUUAUGGUUCCUUUAGUGCUGUGUUACUCCCCCCACCCCCAUUAUAAACAGUUUGACUUCUUAACUGGGGUCUGCCAGGGGUCAGUUCUUGCUUCCUCUGCUUAAAAGAUUCAGUUAGCUGAGCAAAGCCUGGCCCUCCUGCACAUCAACUCUUACCACUCUCAGCCAGAAAGCGAAGCCCUGCACAGCUGGUCUUAGAUCAGGCAGAAAGUUUAGAGCUCCUGGCUGAGGUAGUGGAAGUGGGAGCAGCACCUUGCAGGCCCCGGUAAGAAGUCAAACCAUUCUAAAAAGGCAUGAUUCCUUAGGAAAGAAGGCAACAGGGCAUUUCUGGCACCAUAAACACUAUAGCACACUGUAUAGAUUAUGGUGGUUGGGGUGUUCCUUCAAUAAUAUAGAGUAUAUUUGAAAUGUAAUACAUUGAAUUUUCAUGUAUGAUCUUGUGAACUGAUGUUAUUAUAAUCAAACUGAGUGCAUCUGAAACAAAUUAAACACAAACUAAAUCCAAAUAGCCCAUGGAUUGCUAAUAAAUUAGAGAGACGCAGGAGGCUGGUGUUGACCAUCCCAUUUUUAUAAUGCAUUAUGCAAAUAAUGGAUUAAAAAUCCAAAAUAAUUAAAAAGAAUGGUCCUCCUUUGCAGAAUUUCUUACUUGAAACUUCACUCUUCAUCAGCAAUAAGGCUUUUUGUGUACAUUUUAACCAGUCAUUGCUUUUCUGUACAAGUCUAUAGGUGUAACUGGGAUGUCAUAAAACGGGACACGUGGUGUCAGUGACAUGGUGGCCAUUUCAUUAAAACCAAGCCUGUGCAAACUACAAUUGCAUGGCUAUAACAUAAUACAAAGAUCUGUUUUUUUUCCGUGAAAGCAAUACUAGUGCCACUGUGCCUACAAAUGCAGCUGUAUUUGCAACUACCAAAUGAACCAGGAUACUUCAGAAAGAGGGUCUGAUAUAUAUCUUGUAAUGUAUUUACUUAUUAAUGGCCAUUGGACAGGACAUCACUAACACUCCUAAUGUGGGUUUGGGUAUGGUAUUAUUAAUUUGGGAUGUACUAGGCAUACCCUGGCACUGUUCUCAAUCAUAUAGUUGUCACUUUUUGUAAUGUGGAAUUUGGCCACUUUUUCACCAAAGUACUCUGCAUUACAUAGCCAGGGUUUAUACAAAUUGGGUAGGGCCGUAUUCUUUAACUGGAUUGUAAACACGUAUGUUGUAAUGUAUUUACAGUCAACUGCCACAUAGUGAAGCGAUGGGCUUUUUUCUAGUUACUUGGCUUUGCUGAGCGUAUUCUGCAGGUUCCUAGUGGUCCGUGAUAUCCAUGGGCUGAGGCAGUCUGGGAUGGUCAAAGGAUCUCCCUAGCCUGCCAUGCAGGGCCAAUGAUACUGUGAGCCAGCCCAAAGAGGGUUCUCGAAUACUCCAUGGGUUAGUGGUAGAUCAUAAAUCUCCCAGACUGGUCUAGCCCCAGAGAGCAGGAGGCCUGCACAACCAGCGGGUGCAGACCACUUGUUAUUCUCCAUGAGCUCUGGCAGCUGUGAAUGUAUCAAUAUAAUGCCACUGAUGCUGAAGCUUGCAAAGGCAAUACAGAUGAUCUGCACUUACCAGAGGUACAAACAUGCCCCCUAUGCAUACAAUCUCAUGAGUAGUUACCAUAUAUAUAAACAAGAUGACAAGCAGACUCUCUACACAUACACACAACACCAAAAACAACCUUUAUACACACGCAACAUCGUAAGCAGACUAUGCUCAAAUAUACAAUACCACAAGUAUUCUCCAAGUAUAUACUACAUCACUGACAGACUCAUGCAUAAUGCCUUCUCCCAUUCCCUUUGCACACCUAUUACACUUCUAACAGCCACCUCCACACACACAAAAACUACACCACAAAUAUCUCAUUCUUCAGGCACAAUUAGUGUUGUACUCAGGUGCAUGCAGGAUUGAAGAUGGCGGUACCUGUGGGGGACUUCAUCAGGUAAGUAUUACUCGACCUGCACUUCCAGGCCUCAGCGACAAUGUCACCAUUAGGGGUUUUUACAAAACAUGCAGAGACUUCAGAGGGUGACAAACUCUUUAAAUAACCACUUCACAAUGCCUGUGAAGAAACACAUCUCUUAAAAAAUUACCACUUUAUAGACCAUGAAGUUAGAGGGAUACAGGUUGUAGUGGCCCAUAAUCUCUAAAACACGACAACCUUAGAAUAGAACUGUCAAUAUGUCGUGAUUCACAUGUGAAUUUUUGUGUUUUUUUUAUUGUGACCACCUGCAAAAAAAUGUAAACAAAUGCCAUUCUCUGUUAUGCUGAAUGUAGAGAUAUGCCAGUUGAAGUCUUCAAAGGAUGUGCAGAGAAGCAACAACUGGCCAAUUUCAAGGGAUCACCACCUCAGUCACCCUGACCAAGCUGCUAAAUAAUUAUCAAUGUCUUCUUAAAUUUGCAAAUGUACCUUUAUUACAGCUACUUCUUACAUCUGCAAAAUGACUCUGAUCUUUAUUUAAUAGUUGCCAAUGGUAGUAUUAGAAUAUGUAAGAAUGAAUUUCACAAAUCCAUGCAUCUAUCCCAAGCCAGCAAUGCAGGUCGAGUUUGCUUCUAUAAUGGUGUGGGUUUUCACAAAUUAUUAUUUUAGGUCACUUUGUUAAAUUAUGUAUUAUAAGAAUGCUACAGUAUGCCUAACUGUUGCUCACCAUGUUGUUUUAUGACCAGUCUACCCAUAUAUAUAUAUAUAUAUAUAUAGAUAUUUUUAACCAAAUAAUGUAAUAUGUAACAAAAUGCAUAUCAAUUAAUCUGCUUCCAUCUGUUAGCGCUUUGUAAAUAAUAAUAACAAUAAUAAUUAACAUGGCAGUAGCUUACAUAUGGGAUGAUGUGGAAGGAGAGAGUGGUGUGCACUAAGUUAAUUUGGGCCCAAAUCUCUUAACAGUGCCUUUUUCAGCAUAUAAAGAACUCAAGCAGUUCUGUACAGGUAGAAAGUCCUAGAUAGUUGUUACAAAUAAAGUGGUCACUCAGUGUAUAUUUAUACAUAAUAUAAAGUGCUUUAAUGCUAUGGAUGUAAAAAUAAUUGGUGAGUGAACUUUUGAAAUUUGCAGAAACAUAGAAAAUAUACUUUGGAGUUCUGUUUUUGAGUUAGUGGGUUUGUUAUGAUUGAUCUCUAAUAAAUCGUUUAAUUUUAAUUGAAACAUGCAAUUUUAGUUCUAGUUAUAAACAAUAAUAAUAAUAGUUGUCCUUGAUUAAUACAGUCUGAGAACAAAGCAAGCCCUCCUUACCUGAUUCAGGAUGAUUGCACUGUAAUUGAAUGUCAUGCCUGUACUGGGAGACAUACAGGAAAUAUUUAAUGUAAACAUUGUAGAAUGUCUAAUAUAUAAAAUACAUAAAGAUAAACACGGUGCUCACUAUUAUGAGAUCCCUUAAUCUUUGUACUGACUCACUAGUAUAUAUUUUAGUGACAUGACCUUAAAUCUAUGUUUAAUAAAAUAUACAUUUCUAUAGUCGAAUUAAAGCACAGGGCUAUUCACAUUAUGUCUCACAGCAUUUGUAUUUACAGUGACUGAUGUCUGAUGAAAUGUGUACAAACUGUACGUAGAGCCUACCUUUAGACCUUUCCCUGCUAUUUGGGCAUGUGCAGUACUGCACAUAAAUCUAAAUCAUUUAUAUGAGCAGUUUUUGUUUGUUUGCUUAUGGUUUUUAAAGUUUUUGGAAUUCAGUGAAAGGUAACAAAACGUUCUAGUUUAAAAACAAAACAAAACAUGUUAGCAGUUGGUAUGUCCAAAUCUUAGAAUGCAAAACUGAACCACAUUUGAAAAAGAAAAAUGCUGAUUAGCAGUAUUAGACACCAUACCACUCAUUUAUAUAGUACCUGCCACAUUCCACAGUGCAUUACAAUUACAUGAUAUAAUAUGAUGUAGUCUCUAAACUAAAGUUCAAGCACCAUCACCACUGCAGCCCACAAUAGUGGUUAUGGUGAUAGGAGCUGGUGCUGUACCAGUAGGUCCGACAACAUACCUAGGUCAGGUCAGAUGCCCGUGGUAGCAGCCUUUACAUGUGGAUUCUCCUUGUAAAAGAAUCUGGUUAGCUCCACUGAGCUAUGCUGGGCAGCACUCAUUGGCUGACUAGACUAAAAGAUUUUUAUUGAUACAAAUUUAAUAUAAAUUUCAUUAACGUGACUAUUUUCAAGUAACUUUUUUUUUUUUUCGGCUUUAACAUCCAUGGCAGAAGAUCAGAGCAUUAUGGUGGCAGCCCAUAUAAAUAAGUUAUUAAAUUUUAAGGAUGUCUUUCAGCUAAAACAUGAACACACUAUAAUCACAGUGUGUUCAGCAUAAAGGAACACAUAAUUAACAUAGAUUUAUAUUUUAUUGAGAAUUGUGAUGGUAAUAUAUCAAACAAAACUAAAUAUCUAUUUUUUUAACAGCAGGAGCAGAAGUGCUGUCCUUCCUGCAAGUUUAUUUGUUAGCCAGUUAUUGCACUAAAAACAUCUGACGUGUGUAUUUGUUUGUGUACUGAAUGCAAGCUCAACUUAGCAACAUAAACAUCAAUUAAUGGUUAUCAAGACUUUACAAUGGACACAAUAGGAAGACAAAUUAAUGAUAUUAAAGGUGUACAUGUUUCAUCACAUCAAAUGCUGUUUACUCACUCCUCACCCCUAUAUUUAUUUUUCUUCUGUGACUUUUUCUAUAUUCCAGACUUUUUCUAUGCCAUGUCUCAUUGAACUUUAGGUGUUAUCUUAAGUUCAUAACUACAUGUGUGUAUAUAUGUUGUUUACUUUACACUGCAAUACAAAAUUAAAUAUAUUCAAAUAAACUCCUUUUAUUCCUAUGUUGGUUGUCGUAUUUGUGAGUAACAGAUUUUUCGGCCAGAUUUGUGAUCAGUCCCACUGCCUUACUCUAAGAAGCAUGUAAGUGUAUGGCUUUUAAAGUAUACGGCUGCAUGAUAGGUAGAUGGAGGUAAGGAAGACCCAGGGCACAUUUGACGCCAUAAUUACAACUUACAUCGCUAAGUACUUGCACAACUAUUGCCACUUAACAGAAUACUUUAAACCUGGCUCUAAGCGCACUAAUUUAGGCCAUAUGUACCUGCCACUUUGCACUGAGGAAUAGUUAAAAUUCUUUUGCCCUUUGUCUUUUGUACUUUUGUAUGUAGAGGACAGCCAUUCAAAGGAAGGUACAUUAAUGUAACUUGUUCAUCAAUUAAAUUAGAUAGAUUGGCUUGAUUGUAUUGUAAAUUGAAAUUGAAUACAUUAGGAUGAUCUCAUUCUCUCUUCAAUGUGGCGGACCGCUUGGAAUUAGUGGGAUUCUAAAUACAAGUGACAUAUUUUGUCAAAAGAACAAUGCGAUUGUUUCAUUAUUCUUGGUAACUAAAGAUUAUAUGUAAUCUAAUCUGUUUGUGGAUUAUUUUGUCAUUUAUUUAUAUAUGUAAAGAGAUAAUCAGAUGUUGCAAAAUGCUUAUCUGUUAUAGUGUAGCUCCUAAACUACAUAAAAUACCUCCGCUGUAGCUUGUACAAAAUAGUGUACAAAGCACUUAUGAACAAUGUGCCUCCUGUCUUACAUUUGCUCCAUAGGAGCCACCUUCUCUAAAGCAAAACUUUUUUUUAAUACAAGUCUUUCAUCAAGUUUUGAAAGGAAAUAUAUAUAUUUUUAAAAUAUUUAAAAAAUGUAAUAAUAGAAAGCUCCUUCCAACCUUUAGUAUAUGACAUAAUCCUUUAGCCAUAUACAUACACCUUGGCCAGAUGGUGUUUGAAAACAAAGAGUUAGUCUCUUCCUCCCUACUCAGAAACAGAGAAGACCAUAGAGACUGUUAGCUUUCAACAAUUGUAUAUGCUAGAAGGAUCCUAUCAAAUGCUAAAGGUAGGGGAUAUAUUUUUCUCAUUUUUGUAAUGUAUGCUUUGUUUUAAAAAACAAAUACAAAAAAUGAUACCGCACCCCACAUAAUGCAAAAAAAUACAAAUUUAUUGAAAAUAUGCAUUUUUUUAGCAGAGCAUUGCCAUAUGUCUGGAUAUUUCUGGAAUACCUGUAUAUCUGGAGAGUGAAGAUAUAGAGACCCUAAAGUGACAAGUGCCUACCAAAGUGCUAAAUAUGUGCAUAAAGUGCCAAUAUAAAAAGUCUAUCUAACUUUAUCAACGUUCUGAUGUGUGUGUGUAUAUAUAUAUAUAUAUAUAUAUAUAUAUAUAUAUAUAUAUAUACACACACAACCACCAUAUAUAUAUAUAUAUAUAUAUAUAUAUACACAAUCACAUCAAUCCCAAAACAAUGGGUAAAUAUGUACACGGAUUUUGUUCUAGUCAAUGCUAAAUCCUGCAAGGUAAUAAUCUCUAUUUGGAUAUAUUUGGAUAUUUUAUGUUUUGGUCUAUGGAGGUGGCCAAGUGCUUACAAGCUUUGUAUUUUUCAUUAUAAAAACAUCUAUUUCAUUUCCAAACUUGAUGAAAACAUUAAUAUACUAAAAUAUAGUUUUAAUGUGAAAUAUUUCCUUUAAGUCCUCUUUAUUCAGAAACUGCAAAUAACUGACACAUAUCAUGCAGGUAACUAAGAGUGCACAUUCUGAAGUCAUACAGAAGCAACAAUUUUUCCAAAUAUACAAUCUGACCUGAUUUCAGGUGCAAAUUGUGAUUUCAAAACUAGUUGCUUCUGACCAAAGAGGGCAAUUCCUAUGGAGCAAGGGUAAGCCAGGACAUUCACUGAAAUUAAGUAUCUAUUUUGAUGUAUGUUUCCUAAAAUAAUACAUGUAUACAGUAUAUUACAUGUAAUGUUUUAUAUUCAAAAAUGAUAAAAAUGAUGAAAGUUUUCCUUUCAGUGUCAGCUUUACCAAACUUUCUAAUUUUCAUCUUAUUUUAGAAAUGACAUUACUAGAUAUUACGUAAUCACAAAGUACAUUUUCUAUGUUUUUAGAUUGCUACCUAGUCGGAGUAGAUCUUUUUGAAGAUUAGUAACAUGUAAUUCCUGAGUGAUCUGCCUUGUCUAUUUCUUCUUAAUGUACCUGAAUAAGUCCAAUGCUUGAUGUGUAGUGUGUAUUAUGUCGAGCUAUUAGUCCCUAGAUUGUUUCCUUUCGUACGUUUCUUGGCAUGUCUCAGUUGUUUCAUCUGUCCAUUAGUCUUGUUUUACUUUUAUUUACUCACAUUGAUUGGCACGUGAGUGGCUAACCUUUAUUUUCAAGUCUCUGUUUGUAGUAUAGAUUUUUAUUUUGUCUAGAGGGAGAGCUUGACAUUUUUUUUCUUUAACCCUAUAUCACAAAAAUGUCAGUGCUUGAGUGGGUGGGGAGGGGGAGAGUUGCAUUAAAUGAUCACUCAGACUAUAUAUACAGUGUGUGUGUAUGUGUAUGUGUAUAUGUAUGUAUAUAUAUAUAUAUAAAUAUAUAUACUUAUAUAAUAGACCUGUGCACAAAUCAUCUGCAUUGAACAAGCCAAAUGCCUGUUAAUCAAUUGACAAAUUGUAACUAAAUCACAAUUAUUUUUGCCCACGUUAGGAGGUUUUUUAAAAAAACUAUUCCUUUCUGUGAGCUUUGAAAUUGCUGUAGGUCAAGCACGUCAAACUCAAAGGCUAGCCGAAUAAACAAGGUUUAAGUUUAUGUGGGCCACAAAAAAACAAAAACUUAAAUUUUCAUUGAAACGUAGGUUUAUCUACUAAACCAAAGCCCCCCCUCGUCUACUAAACCGCAGCCCCCCCCUUGUCUACUAAAUCCCAGUCCCCCCUUGUCUACUAAAUCCUAGCCUGCCUUCGUCUACUAAAUCCCAGUUUCCCCUCCGUCUACUAAAUCUUAGUCCCCCCUCGUCUACUAAAUAUCAGUCCCUACGUCUACUAAACACCUGCCCCUGUUUUAAAAAAACAACAACCAACAAGCAGUCUCUGGAGUUUGGCCAUGGUAUACCCCCAAUGGCCCCAUCUGCACCUUUAAAAAAGUGGAUCCUCCCACUACUCCUUGAAACCCUCACACACACUCACUGACAUUCACACAGAAUCACUCUGACACACACAUACACUCACAGACACACACAUUCACUGACAGGCACACACUGACAGACACACAGUCUCCCUCACAGACUCCCUCACUCACAGAAACACACACUCACUCAGACACACAGGCUCCCUCACAGACACACACUGACAUACGCACACUCAGUCACACAAACAGACACACACAAAAACAGACAGACACACACACCCAAAGCCAUGCACACAGACAGCUAUACACACAGACUCACAGACAGCCAUUCAGCCAUACAGACAGCCAUGGACACAGAGAGCCAUACAAACAGCCAUGCACACAGACAGCCAUUCAGCCAUACUGACAGCCAUACAAACAGCAAUGCACACAGACAGCCAUACAUACAGACAUCCAUUCAACCAGACAUACACACACACACACACACAGCCAUACACACACACACACACACACACACACACACAGACAGCCAUACACACACACAGCCAUGCAGACAGACUGCCAUACACACACAGCCAUGGGCACAGACAGCCAUGCACACAGACAACCAUACACACACACACCCAUGCACACACAUGCAAACAUACAUCUCCCCCCCAACACUCAUUUAAAAAAAAAAAUUAAAUCCACUCAGCCUCCCUACCUUAGGGAGAGCUGGGUGGAUUUCUUACCUGGGGUCUAGUGGGACUGCUGGGCAGGCGGGUGUGCAGGCUGGGGGCGGACAGAUGGCGAGGGUGCAAGCUUUACCUGCUCAGCUCCCACGCGCGCCGCAGAGUGAUGCCGGGAGCCGGAGUGACGUCAUAUUCCAGCUCCCAGCAUCACUGAGGGGAGUAGAGUAGGGCUGCGAGUUUGACAUUCAUGCUGUAGGUAAAAGACUGAGAGCACUGGAACAUGUGUAUUGUAUUUAAUAUAUGUCGUGGUACUGGAAUCAAACAAUUAAAAUGGAAUCUAUUGGCAUAUUUACCAUAUACAUGGUAAAUCCUUACGUACACCAGUAUUAAACUUUGUGGCCUAAAAUGCAAAAAAUAAAAUGAAAUGUGUGGCGCUAAACUCUAUUUAUCACAACGAGACUCCAUUUAUCACAAGAACACCAUCCCAAUGAUGAUUCAUGUUAAUAGUAUAAUCAAGUGGGAUGCUUUUAAUAUGCAGGGACUGGGCAGCUGGUCAGAACUGAAAGUAAGAUAGAUGGAGGCAAAUACAGAGCAAUUCUAAAAUUAAGCCUAAUAGUUCAUUCUGCAUACGAUUUGAGAUUGGGAUGGAGCUUUACCUCAUAAGAGGAUAUUGACCCUAAACACUGUUGUUGCAAACUAAUAAUUUAGAUUUCUUAGAAUGACUCGGAGAUUAUACCUAAAUCUGAGAAUCUGUGGAAAGGUCCCCAACCAACCUGAAAGAAUCUGAGCAACUUUCUCAGGAGGAUAUGUUUUAGGAUUCAGAUGUGCAAAACUGGUAAAGACUUACCCCAAAAGACCCUUAAUUGCAGUCAUACAUGGUUCUAUCAAGUUUGCCAGUGCAUACCAAUAAAUCGGUCAAAGUGGGACAAAACGUUUCUACAUUUCCAUCUCUUUCUGCUCCUUGACAUUGUUUCAUCUGAAUUAAAGUAGUAAAAGUAAUUCCCCAUGACGCUAUCCAUGCAAACACAUGUAAGGCAUUAUUCUAGUGAUGCUUUGUGCAAGCAUCAUGAUAUAUCAGGAGAUUACAUUGACUGUCAAACUAAGCAGAGACAGUCUUGAACAUAAUGUAAAUUUUAAUAUAUUUGUUGGGUGUUUUGUGCCCUUGUUGUAUGUAACGGCACCCCCAGGCAUAAAAGGGUUAAACCGCCGUUUAGUAGAUCUUCCCUUCCAGAGACACAGGCACAGCUACUGCAGAACACCAAACUCUCAAACUGAAUACAAGGGAAUGCUCCAAACUCCCAAACUGCAUACAAGGGAAUGCUCCAAACUCCCGAACUGCAUACAAAGUAGCACUCCAAACUCCCGAACUGGAACCUCACAAAUAGCUGCUAGCAGACGAACAGUAAAAGCACCCAAGUGGCUUACACUCCUGGCAAUCAGUCUCUAACAGCAUACAGUAAAUACCCCCAAAGACAAGACAGAGCUCCGUGUUGAGGGUCAAGCAGUGGUCUGGUUUAUUGAGGGCUACCUGCCCAGUAUUUAUGCAGGUCUCCCACCUGGUGGACACUCCCCUAGGAGACCAGAUGGGAGACUGUAACACAGACAGACAUGUAUCAAAUUCAGACACACAGAAGUAAAACAUCCCCACAAUGCAUCCUAAUUUCCCUCCCUCUAUCCUGGAGAUAAUUGGGAAGUAAUCCAAUUAUCUCACAGGACAAAGGCAAAACUCCAUUAUAUACGUGGGGACACAAAGACAGUAAAAUACUUUAAAAUAUACAAAGUUACAUUUUAUACAUAAAAUACAGACAUGUCACAUAUCCCCAGAUAGCUGGAUCUGAGCGCACAUAACUACCGAAUAGCGCUCAGACCCUAUUCACACAGUUCAAUUGCCAUGGAGCCAAAGUCUUUAAUUACACGAAUAGGCUCCAUGGCAUAGCUAUCUGGGUUAAAACAUUCACUGAAGUAAAGUCCCGAUCAAUUCAGGGUUCGGCUAAACAGCCACGAAUAGAAGCAGGGAAGGCUGGAGGCUCAGCGGUGCCUGCACGUAAAAGUCUCCGCUUUUAGUGCACUGAUUCCAGGCUGAGCACCACUGGCCGUCUGGGGAGCUCCAUAACACCGCCACCUAGCGGCCACUAAGUGUAACCGUGGCCUCCCAGUAACAGUCAACUAAGCUGCGGUUAACCGCAGCUACUGGGUGGUCAAUUGACGGCACACGCUAGCUUCAGGGAGGUGAAUUGAAGGCACACGCCAGCUUCCCUGUGGUCGCACCUUCGGUAUUUUGUUCGGUAGAUAAAAUCUACCGAACACCCUGGCAGAAAGGCAUGAAUAAGCCUUUCUGCAGGGAAAAUAAAGUAUUUUAAAAGUCCGGUCCAUAGUCUAAAGGGAGCAGACGGGCAGCCACGCUCCUCCAAUGCAAUGUGGCGAGAUUGCUCUCGUCACAUUGUAUAUUCCAUAUUAAUGUGAAAUCUGACGGGCUUUCUGUGUUUGGAUACUACACAUUUCACAAGAUAAUUGGUUCUGCCUUAGCCCACUGUUGCUGCUACAUUGAGAUUCAUUUGUUGUGCCUGACAUUGCUUAAUUGUCUGCCAGAGAGAUAUUACAUACUUGACAACUUUGUCAAGUAUGAAGCCAGGGUCGAAGUAGAGUGUGUGGGUACAUGCCAGUUAUGCAAUUCACAUCACCAACAACAUGCAUACCUAGUCAUAAUGGAGGAAUAUCCACAUGGUGUUCAUGCGCACCACGAUAACAGCAAGGAUGCCAAGCAGGACAUUCAAUGCAAAGGCAUAUCUAGAGUAUAUGGAACCAACGGUGGAGUUGUCAGUUUCCAACCCUUUACCCCUAGAAUUAUUUAUUUUUAUCAUCCCUAAUUCUUUUUUAUUAAUUUUAUUAUUUCAAAAUGUUCAUAUAGAUAAAGCAGAGUAUGUACAUAGUUAGAGAGCAAAAUACUUUAAUAAUACAGUGGCAGAAUAUUGCAAUACUGUUACAUGCCAAGGUAUUCCAGGUGGGAUUAUUCUAUAGGCUACUAGAUCUUAACUGGGCAAUAGUAAAUCAUUGGCAGAACAGUUAAACAAGCAAUGUUACACAGAACAAAAGUGGUUACAGCAGGGCUUGACAAAUCCCAUGGAUUUGUAAACCUGUUCAGCCUCCAAGAUGACUGGCUGCCUGAGUGUGGAGGCAGGCAGUUGGCUCACAGAGGGCUGAGGCAGUCAGGUGGCUGACCGAGGGUGGGAGGCGGGCUGUCGGCUCAUGGAGAGCUGAGGGAGUGAGGCGGGCGGCUCAUGGAGAGCUGACGGAGGGAGGUGGGCAGAUGGCUGACUAACUGCAACGGCAAGGGAGCUGUCCUCUCCCUGCCCUACUCCCUUGCGUGCUCUCCAGUGAUCCUGACAGCCGGGUUAUCAAGUCAUAGCAUCACUAAACAGCACUUUAGGGAACAGAGUAGGAAGAUUAUCAGAGCAGCCCCACUGGGUGCCAGGCAAAGCUAAUAUACUCUAGCUCUCCCAAAUGUAAGGAGGCAGGGUUGAUUAAAAUAAAAAUGUAACAGUAAUAAUUUGUGAGUGCGAGUGUUGCAGUAUCAGUGUGUGUGUGUGUCAAAUCAGUGAGUGUGUGUGUCUCAGUGAGUGUGUGCAUGUCAGUGAGUGUGUCUGUGUCAGGGUACCUUAUGUUUUGGCACAGGCUAUGCCACACUCUAAAGACAUCCCUCAGGAGGUUGGGAAUCUAUCCAGAAGUCCUUCUCAUGUGUCCAGCAGUUCUCGUGCUGGCUGCGAUUGCCCUGCCCCUUUUUAUGACACAGUGUGUGAACGCUGACAUCAUGACGCUGAUGACGUCACAGCCUGUCAAGACGCUCGAAUUUAACCGUUUUUGGGGUAUGGUGACAAAUUAAAGGAACUCAGUAUAUAAGGGGAGUUCAGGACAUCUCUCAUUGCCCUGUUGUGGUUCUUAUAGACCCAAUAGCGCAUUAAAGUUUUAUAUAUUUCUCCUGGUUCUGACUUUGACUCAAUUGACUACUCUACCUUCUGUAACCCUUUGACUCGGCUUUUGUACCCUCGCUGUUCUUAAUUUCUAGCUCCUUUGACCUCUGCUUGUUCCUGAUUGUGACAUUAGUCUGGCCAUUCUAAGGUCCGGUACAAGUUACUAUUAUUCUACACUCUGCAUGUAGGAUCCCUCUAUAUUCCUGACAGUCUGUUGGUGAGUGUGUGUCUCAGUGUGUGUGGCUGCCAGUGAGUAUGUAUGUUUAGGUGACCUGCCCCCCUUCAAUCACAUGGGAAAGGUGUUUUUCGUCAACUUUUUUCUCACAUCGUACUGGUGACAUCGCUUUUGACCCCACCUCUGUGGGCACCUGGCAAAACUGAUCCACUCCAGCACUCCUAAAGGCAGGUUGCAGUAUCAGUUUGUGUCUGUGUCAAAUCAGUGAGUGUCUGUCAGAGAGUUCAAGUUGAGACUACCCCACCACUCAGUUGAGGAAGACUAUUUGAGUCCUAUUGACUAUACACUUGUAGGGCUAGUUUGGCUUCCUGAUAAUUACCAAAUUUCAAUGCACAGGAUAAUAUUUCCAUUGUUUGUCAUUAGUUGAGCCAUACACACAUACACAUUGAGCCAUACAUACAUACACAUUCAGGUAUGGCACCCUGUCAAGGUUUGGUGUAGCCUCAUCAACGUAUUGUUCCUGUAACAUUUUGUAAUUGUCUCGUUUAUUGUAACAUAUGCCCCUUUUUAUAAUAUUUUAAGCAUUGUGAGUAAGUUGGCCAACAUAUAAUAUGCAAUAUCUAGGUGCACUGAUAUUUCGGCUACCAAAUUACUACAUUUUAACAGUACCUGAAAAAGUCUACACUGGGAAAAACAAUAUCCUUGAUGUUUGAGCAGCAAUAAAUCAAUGUGGAAAGGUAAUGUGGACAGCUGUAAAUAAGUUUGAAACAUAACACAGACAAUUCUAAUUUAAUGUGAAGCUUAAAAGGCAAACAUAGGUUACUGAGACUUGGCCUUCCACCCUAAAUAAAUGUAAAAAACUGCAAUAAUCAGGGUUAAUCCAGGAGGGUACAUGAGGAUGGCGGCAUUGAUUAGCAACUAAUCUGUAUUUCUUUAAUCUUCUCUAAGUGUUUAACUUUGAUUUUAUAUUACAUUUUUAUUCAUAUUGAGUCUGUCCAUUUAAAAAAAAAUCUAAUCAACAGCAGUAGAAUUACAUUACAGAGGGUACUCUCCAAAGUCAUUCUUAAGGGCCACUAAUAACACAAAAUCCUGUAUCUGGCACGAGCUUGGCAAGGCAUUUGCCUUGGGCAACACUGUCAGGGGGGCGACAAAAAAAGACACCCCCAAACAAAUGCCCCAAAUGCCUUGCCAUCUUCUUGUCCUGGGGGGCCAGGAGCUGGCCACUUCAGGCCCCCCCCCCCCCCAAGGCUGGCAUGCGCUGAUGUAAGCGGGCGGCGAGGGAGCACUCUCCCCUGCUCAGCUCCCUCGCGCUCACCACAGUAAUGCCAGAGCCGGAAUAUGACAUCACUCCAGCCCCAGCAUCAAUGUGUUAGUGUGUGUGUGUGUGUUAGUGUGUGUAUCUGUUAGUGAGUGUGCUAGUGUGUCUGUUAGUGAAUGUGCUAAUGUGUUUGUUAGUGGGUGUGUGUGUCUGUCAGUGAGUGUAUGUGUGCCUGUCAGUGAGUGUGUAUGUGUGCCUGUCAGUGAGUGUGUAUAUGUGUCUGUCAGUGAGCGUGUAUAUGUGUUUGUCAGUGAGCGUGCAUGUGUGUCUGUCAGUGAGUGUGUAUGUGUGUUUGCCAGUGAAUGUGUAUGUAUCUGUCAGUGUGUGUGUAUGUGUCACUGAGAGUGUUUUUCAGUAUGUGUAUGCGUGUCUGUCAGUGUAUCUAUGCGUGUCUAUCAGUGAACGUGUAUGUCUGUCAGCUAGUGUAUGUGUGUCUGUCAGUGAAUGUGUAUGUCUGUCAGUAAGUGUGUAUGUGUGUUUGUCAGUAUAUAUCUGUCAGUAAGUAUAUGUGUGUCUCAGUGUGUGUGUGUCUGACACUGAGUGUGUAUCUGUCAGUGUGUGUGUGUCUGUGAGUGAGUGUGCAUGUGUGUCUUGUCAGUGAGUGUGUAUGUGUCUUUCAGUGAAUUUGUGUUUGCCAUUGUGCAUGUGUGUCUGUUGGUGAAUGUGAGUGUGUGUGUAACUGUGAGUGUAACUGUAAAUGAGUGUGUAUGUCUGUGAAUGUGUAAGUGAAAGUGUGUUGGUUAAAAAGUGUGUGUGGCAAUGACUGUGUGUCUGUCAGUGAGUGUAUGUCAGUGCAUGCAUCAGUGAGGGUGUGUGUCUGUUAGGAAGAGGAAUUUGGAAGGGGGUAGGUGGGUGCCAAGUUUUGUGAUGCCUAGAGCAGCACAAAACCAGAAUAAACCACUAACACAUAUAAUUAAUGUGGGUCUUCCGAUAUUCAAUUUUACCUUUUCAUAUAACAUGUAAUUUACCCCGCUCACUUGCAUAAGGAAGAGACAAAAAAGUUGACUUGCUCAGUGACACUGGAUCACCGUUGAAAACCUGUUAAAGUUUCAGCAAAUCUGUUAGAUUGACCUCAUGAAACCCAAUACCUUAAUGACAGUUUAGGAAUACAAUUUGGCUUUUACAGUAAUGAUAAAACUAUUUUUAAUUUUCUCAGAAACCUUUGCUGAUUAGCAGUAGACUCAUACUUUUUUUUUUUUCAACCAAUUAAAUUUGAACCAGUUUUUUUUAACCAAUUGAAUAUUGUGCACUAAAUCACAUGAUAUAGUGCAUAAUAAAUGAGAAACUUGUGUGACAGCACUUGUAGUUGUUUUUGUGUACGCUGGCAAGGCAGGCUUUUCUUAGCAAGCUAUUGAAUUAGGUGCAUAGUGUGGAGCUUUUCACGCUUCUUAUUCAGCCUGAGGCCUUUGUAAUUGUUUCCCAAUCGAAUUUUCUCCAGCUUUGAGAACAUUUAGAAAGCACAUUUUAUAUUGGAUUGUAACAGUGUAUGAUUUCCAAGCAAUAUAGCAUAGUUCAAUAAUAAUAUUAAAAAAAAGGAAUAGAAAAAUCUGUUAUCAUGGCGAUUGUCAUGGUGUUUCACUCUCUGUAAACAUUACUAUAGAAUCACACUUUGCAUUUGAACUUGUAUUUGUUUGUACAGUGUAUCACAUCACAACAUGUCCGUGAAUUUGCCAUUUAUUGUUGUUGCUUGUUGAUAUAUGUCUAUGUAUAUAAAAAGCUUGUUCCUUUUCUGUUGUACAUUGCUUACAUGAUGUAAUUUUGAUAUAAUUAUCAUUAAUAAUGAUUAAUGUUAAUAAUAAAGCACAAACAUAUUCUGUAGCACACACCCAUCCACAGGUGCACAGGGAUUUAGAAGUUUAAUAAAUCUAAGUGUAUUUAGACAGUUUUUGUAAAAACAAAGUGUACUGAAACACAGAUGUAAAAAUUUUGUAUACAUGACAUGCUUAUAUCUUACAUCAUAUCCCUUGUGUGUUAUUUAUUGUAUGGACACUUUGUUAUUAACAGUCCAUUCUUUCGUUUUGUAUACAAGCUGUUCUAUAAAAGGACCGUGUAACUUUUAUCAGACAAUUUACGGUUGUUUUGUCUUCAAUUAUUUUAUGGUCUUAGAUUGAGUCAUGGAUCAUGUGACUGAUGGUUACUGAUAUUGAUCAGCUUGGCAUAAAAAACGGGUGCAACAGCCACAGGGAGUGCCAACCACUUUAUGACCCGCACUGACCCUUGGUUUAUCCCUUUUUAUAUGUUGACAUUGGAUAAACUCACAGCUUUAUGUCUGACAUUACUGAAGGCAUAAUAAAUAUUGCAGAUGUUUAAAUAUUAAAAGAUUUGGUAGGAAUGCAGAAUUGACUUUUCUGACUCAAAGAGUUUAAAAUGUAAUAGGAUUUUAAAGAAUUCAGAUUUACCACCUAUAAAGGACAUAGUUGACAUGUAGCGGUAAUCCUGUGGAUAUUAAUAAAGAUAAAAUGGUAUUUGUUAGCUUUCUUCGUGUUCAUAGUCAUAGUAUAUGGUGCCAGAUUUUGUCCUUAUUAAAAAAAAACAGGCUAGAAAUAUGGUUGAAGAAUACUAUCAUUAAAACUCUUUUCUCAUACCACAAAUGCUGAACAUUUGUGGUUGGGCAAAAAAAUGAUUGCUACCUAAUAAUUAUUACAUCUUUACUGUAUGGAACAAUUCUUCAACACCACUGGAUAGACAAAAAUCAAUGCCAAUAUUUAUGAAUUCUCAGCCGUUAAGCAUAGUGUUAAAUAUUGACAACCUUGUAUCAGUGUGUAACCCCCCUUGUAAAUAUACGUGGUCGCUGUACAUAUGUUUUUGAAAAUGUUUUUUAUUCUGUUAGUGAGAGUUUUUUUCUAAGAGUGUUGUUUUCUCAGUGUUGGAUUUCUCACUUAUUUGGUGUUAUAUUCAUGCUGUAUUUGUCUCACUGUUUAAAGGUACACUAUAGUCACCAGAACAACUACAGCUAUUGUAUUUGUUCUGGUGAGUAUAAUCAUUCCCGGCAGGCUUUUUGCUGUAAACACUGUCUUUUCAGAGAAAAUGCAGUGUUUACAUUACAACCUAGUGAUACCUCCAUUAACCACUCCUCAGAUGGCUACUAAAGAUGCUUCCUGGAGCAGUGCUGGGCACUGUGCAGCACUGACAGUCAGUUUCUCCACCUUCUGCAUAAGGGCACAUAACUUUCGUCAUAGAGAUGCAUUGAUGGCUGAUUCAAUGCAUCUCUAUGAGGAGGUGCUGAUUGGCCAUGGCUGUGUUUGACUUGUGCUGGCUCUGCCCCUGAUCUGCCUCCUUGACAGUCUCAGCCAGUCCAAUGGGAAAGCAAUGUGAUUGGCUGAAAGAAUCACUUCUGAUGAUGUCAGCCAAGCAGGCAGUUCGGGGGCAGAGCCAGCAGCAACAGACUGGAAUAAAGGUAUGAUUUUUAAUAUAUUUAAGGGGGGAGGGGGCAUGGGGGCUAGAUGGUGGUUUUAACACUGUAGGGUCAGGAAUACAUGUUUGUGUUCCUGACCCUAUAGUGUUUCUUUAAUUACUUUUGCUUAAUGAAAAAAGUCUUCUUGAUCUGCCCCAUAUCCAAUCACUGUCCUCUGUGUCUCUGUAUAGUAUUUAAAAGUCAUGGUAAGGAGGGCAGUGAUUGGCUGUGUGGUGGAGUUAUGCCAAGAGUGUGACGGAGCUCCCUGUACCCCGGCUGGGUACCUUCGCCAAGGACCGCUUCCUAGAUGGAACAGGAGACAAACCUCAGCACUCCUACUCCCAGUCGCCGUGACUUGACACGGGUCCUGGAACCACUCCGUCCUGGAGCAGAAUGGGGAACUCACUCUAUCCAUUCCCAGGCACUGGAUGAUAUUCAGUCCUGGGAGCUCUAGUUCUUACAAGGACUUUCCCUGUUGAAUCCUCCACACUGGAACAAGCUGGAGUAGUUAUUAGCCCUUUCCCCUCCCAGUACAAAACUGUACAAAACUCAAUUAUCUCCAGGCACAAAAAAACACUCAAUUCAAACUCACCCCAAAAGUUUUUUAACUACAUAAAAACCCCACAAAAGUUAUAUCUCCCGAUAGCCCCGAUCAGGGUGACCAACAUAUCCAAAAAUCACCCAGAUCGUUUCAAGGGUUCGGGAUUUCCAUGGAAGUCAUAAUUUGACUAACCGCACACAAGGCUCCUGCCCAAAAUACUUCCAGGGAAAAAGUGGUAGCGGUCAGUCAAGUUUGGUAGUUUAAAAGAGAACAAACUACUGAAGAGAAUCCAUUGCCAUACCAUGGAGCUUGUUCCAUUUAUCCAGAGGAACGAUCCCACUGAACAGUGUUCUUCUAAGUUAUAUAAAACCAAAUGCAGACAAUCAUGGAUGUCCAGCAGUGUUCGGGAGUUUCAAUGUCCGUUUUUAGUUCCAUGAACUCAACGACCGAACAUCACUGCCUGCUUUCAUGCGAGCAAGAUGGCCGCCACCACGUGUUCGUGCAUACGAAAGGCGGCGACCGAGACAAACCAUUAGAACUCUGUGAUUAGGAUCGUUACAAUGUAUCCAUUAGGCUUAAUAGGCUCCCGGAUGGUCCAUAGUUCGUGCAACGGUUCGGUUAUUGAACAGCAUAGGAGAAUCACACGAACUAAGCCAGUUAAAUAGUCUUUUACAGGUUUCCCUACAGGGCCCAUAGUCUAGGCAAGCUGAUAAGCAGGCUCCUCCAGGAGCCUGUGGCAAACUCACGUGGGAAGGGGAGUUUGUCACAAAGAGCUCAGCUCACACUAAUCUUUUACUGGCUGAGCUCAGAUUAUACAUUGCGCACUACCUUUCUGGAAGACAUUUUAUAUAAAUAGGUGUCGUGAGGGAGGGGUUAUGGUGCAAAAACUAAAGAGAUUUGAAUAUGGAGAAAAAUACUGCUUGGAUAUGUGGCAAAAAUCCUUGAAAUGCAUGGUUGUGUUAAUGCCUCGGCCCUCGAGUGUCCCUUUAAGUGUUCAGGGCUUAUACAUAUUCAUUAGUUACAUUCUGUUAGAAAUUAUUCUGGUUCUCUAUAAUUUAGAUGUAAAACACUCUCUAGAUAGAUGGAUACCUAUAGAUUAUUGCUGUCAUUAUCAAAGAAUGAUUGAUAUCAUUUAUAUUAAAAAUAUAUAACAAUUGUCUCAUGUAGGUACACUGCAAGCUGCUUAAAUGCAUAUUACAUAUUAAUUUGUCUCUUAAAAGUUCUCAAGUUUAUGAAAAUAAAAAUAUUUAUAAAUAUGCAAUGAUAAAGGUAAAAUAUGCUUAAUUUACUCAAUCUUCAGAAUCAGAAAUUAAGCUCAUACCCCCCACGUGAACCUUUUAAGGAUAUAAAGUAUUCUGGGUAUAAGUUUAAAGUGAACAUGAGCUUUAGAGGGGCGGGGCCUGACCGCUAAAAUGUGCAGCUCCUGCUCUCCGGCACAGAAAAAGUGAAUUCCUACUGUUCAAACGGGACCAAAUCGGCAGAAGGUGACAAGGAGGGGCACACAAUGAUGCCAUACAAGCAACCCUUUCAGCAAAACUCGCCUGCUCUGCCUGCGGGGCCUACACGCAUGGUCGGCAUGAGGGAGAUGGCUGCUCCCUUGACAUCCAUGGCUGCAAAGCAGGGAGACCGGACCCCCAUUCCCCCCCUCUGGACCGGUGGGGGAUAUCCCGGUCCGCCCUAGGGAGACCCUGGUACAACCCGGCAAACACGCUGAGGCGACACAGGGGCCUGAAAUAAGCAGUGAAACUGCACCUAAAAUGGCAGAGGCAAGGUGCUCCUCCAGCACCAGCAACGAGCAUUCGGAGGUGGAGCUCUGGCUGGACAAAGCCUUUCAAGUCCUCUGGGAGAAGCUCGAGGCUCUUAUGUUCUCAACAACCUCAGAGAAAUCGCCUCUAACCCGACCGCGCACUCGCCCAAGCGUAUCCCAACGGAAGACCACACAGACACCUCUGGCACCGAGCCGCCCAAAAAGAAGAAACCAGCAGGACACUAUUAAAAAGCAGGUGACCGGAGACCCAUCAGGCGGCAACAGGAGCAAGGCGACAGCCACAUCGAACAGGCAAGUAAUCGUGCGGACACACAUCAGCCCACCAACCUGAUAUUGAGGGUCCAUCACCAAGCGGCCUGAACUACCCGAUCCACCACCCGCCGGCGCAAGUCUAUACACUGCCCACACAAGGAAUAGGAUGAUCGGAAACAUAGGAGAGAGACUUAUCCUAGUAUGACAGCGCUACCUGCUACCCACAAACGAAUCAGACACUCACUCUAUCAAGCAGCUCACUCCUAGGAAACUGACUCUCGAUGGCAGGACUGUCAUACCCCACCGAACGCCAAAGCCCAGUUCUACCCCUCACCACACAACUUUCAGGGGCCCCCUGGGGCAUACCACACCAAUUGCCCUAGCUUAAUGAUUAAACCAGCCCACAUACGCUAAGCGGUGAAACUAACGAUUUUGCCUAACACAUAAUUGUGCAUGUAUUAUAGAUGACCCAACUGUUAUAUAUAUAUAUAUAUAUAUCAAAUACGCUGGAGGAUUGGCGUUGGGGUACCUCAUGAGCGGAUGUUAAACUGAUAUGCAAUGCAAAAAAAAAAAAAUGCAUGAGCUUUAACCUAUACAUUUUGCUCAGUGCAUCAAUUAAAUGUUAUGGCUUACCUGAUGCAGCACUUGUCAGUAACAUGUUUGCGAAUAGUAUAUAAACAAAAAAGGAGGAAUCCUGCACUCUUAUCAGAAUUCUGGUGUAACCAGACCUGGGGUUGGCUACCCCUACCGUAAUAGUUGAAUAAAGUUGUGGUCCAGGCACCCAAGGAUCAGUUUAAACAGCAGUUUUAUUUGGAAAAGUGCAAUGUUUUGAUCUCCAGGAGAUGUUCCUGAAGAUCUUUCUUUUGAGAAAAAUCUCCUGGAGAUCGAAACGUUGCACUUUUCCACAUAAAUCUGCUGUUUAAACUGAUCCUUGGGUGCCUGGACCACAACUUUAUUCAACUAUGUUUGCGAAUAGUGUGAGUUCGAACUCUAAUUUUACCAGUAAUGUGCUAUUGCCUGGCCUGAAAGAUGUAGAAGUAUGAAGAUACAUAUGUCACUUAUCCAGGAACAUUUGUCCUUGGAAAGGAUACUAAAAUCUUUAGAUCACCUGCUGUAUGCUUCCUGUUACAUAUGUUGAGCCAAUUGUAAGGCAGAUGUGUGACAGCUGUUCACUGGGUGUUUAUUCCAAAGAAACUAAAAGUAAUGUUUUGAUACUAAAAUACUGUUCUAUAUGGUAUUUACUGUCAUUUGUUUUUUUUUUCUAUAAUGAAUAAAAGGUGAUCCAAAGAAACAAAUCCCAGGCAGAUUUUAUAUUGACAAAUACAAAGCAACAUUUUGGCUACACAGAGCCUUUCUCAAACUUUCUCUUCUGCUGGAAGUUUUUUAAACCACCUUUCAUUUUGGUAAUCCUUCAAGAUGGCUUGGGUAAGUGUUUAGUUUCAAGUACCCAAGGGGUCAUAUAUUUCAACUCUUUCAUUGCUCUUCCAGCAUAGACUUGCAUUGCAUCCGGACAACCAUGGUGUCUAAACCUGUUGUUUCUAAAUGGAAUCGGCCACUUAAUAUAUAUUCUGAGAUUAACAUAGCAGUUACAAGAAUUUGGCACAUUAAAGUGCUACGUUAUUAACACCAACAAUGUGUUUGCUCGGUCUAUCUAUACACAAAAGUCAUAUAAGAAGAUUUUUAUAUGGCUAGAACUUAAAUGGACAGGCUAAGCAGUGUUGUAGAUUUUAAGAAAUGGUGCUUUCCUGUAUUUCAUGGCUGUGAUUGUUUUUGUUUUGUUUUCAGGGAAAUUCUGUUCAAAUUUUGCACAAAAAAAAGACAAAGGCAAAAAACAAAAAGACGGGAGCCACCCAAAGACUCCUUCAGCCAUAACUACUUGUGGUUUUGGAACUUAUAACAUCCCAAUAAGGUUGACUCUAAUAAAACUGCUAGCACGAGUUGUCAUGCAGGCAGAAAGCAAUCUCAUGUGUGUGCACGUGUAAAUUUGUAUGUGUUUGUAUGUGUAAUACAAAUAUAUAUAUAUAUAUAUAUAUAUAUAUAUAUAUAUAUAAAGGCUACGAGGCUAGAGUAGACUAUAUUCACAUUACAAUAACUUGUGUGGUAAUCAUAAUAAAAAUGAAAAUGAAUUCUUCAGGCAUUUGGUGUAAUGCAAAAACCAUAACUGUUACACACAUUAUAUAUUUUGUGUCCUGUUUAGCUCGAACAAUCUUGUUUAUGGCUCUUUGUACAUAUACCCUAUUGACCUCAUUGGUCCCAACGUUUAUGAGAUCGAGAGUGCCAAGGGAAUAGGGGAAAUGUCCUGCAAUGAAAUGAUUUCUCUAUUACCCUUUUCCAUCUGCACUCUGGCUGUAACAUUGCAAGCAACAAUUCUUAUUUCCCCGGAGUAUCAGGAACCUCGCACUCCAAAUCUCUGAAAUAGAGAUUUCCAGUGUGGAAAUACAGUUUCAACUGCACAUCAGUAAGGAGACAAUUACAUAUAUAUUUUAACUCAGUUUGUAAGUUGUUCUGUUUAAUGAUUGCAGCAUUUAAAAAUAAUAUAAUGAUAGUACUUUUACAAAAUUAAAAAUGUCUAAAUUAGAAAUGCAGACAGCUGGAACCGGCUGCCUAAAUGAAAUGAUAUUGAAGGCUUUUCAAGUAACAGACAAUGAAUAAAAGACGCAUUUAACACUGCUCUCAGUGAUACACAGAGAAGUAUAGAGAGCCUCACAAUGUAGACUUAAACAAGGCAAGGAUCCUCAUUCCCAGACUGUAGGCCCCUCCAUAGCACUCAAAUGCACUCACUGCAAAUACUUCACCAGUAAUGGUAACAAAAGGAAGGGGCACACAAAAUAACAGGGCUCAAAAAUGUGAGUGCCAAUUUAACUUCAUGCAUUUCUCAUAGAUGAAUGCUGAGCCCUGCGAUGGAAAAAUAUCCCUGUAACACAUGUCAACCUUAUGGAUAUUUUAUAUUACAUGUUUUGUUAUAACUCAAAACUUUUUAAAACUAAAGCUUUGGUCCACAGCAGCUGAAGGAGCAGAGAUUAACUGUUCCAGGUCUUUCUAGCAGGUGCAGGAUACAACACACGUUCUUCCAUCCAUCUGGUAAUGCCAUCAAUGCCCAAAUAUGACACCAGUAAGACCAAAAGGCAAGAUAUCAAAAACUGAACAUUAAAUGAAGUGUUAAAUAUCACUUACCUUGGUAUAUAAAUCCUGGUAGAUGGGGAUUUUUGUGACAGCUUCCCUAGUAGACCUUCCUAAGGGAAACUGCAAACAGUCAGUAGAUCGUGUUCAAGGAAUGCUGUCUAGGUAUGGGUCAAUGCUGGCUUAGGGUUAAGGCUGUUUUAGGGUUAGGAAUUGUGUGGACUUAAGGUAAGGUUAGGGUAGAGUUAGUGUAAGCACAGGGGUAGGAUUUGUACAGGUUUAUGGGUUGGUUAAGGGUUAACAUUAAAGUUAAAUUACAUCCUAGACAUUUGAGUCUUUUAACAAACAUGACUAAUGUGAAUCUAUUUUUAGUUCUUUUUUUUUUAAUUGCAUUUGCUCUGUAAAAAAUAUUAUACAUAAAAAUGUGAAAGAAACUUUUUUGUUUUGUUUUGGUUUUAUAUUUUGUCCCAUUCAACAUUUUAUUUUUCCUAAUGUAUAUAUAUAUGAUAUUAAAGGGACACUAUUGGCACCCAGACCACUUCGACUGUACUCCCACCUCCGAGGCUCACCUUCAAAACUUCUCCAUCUCCAGGGCUGCACCUGACAAUAUAGUUGUGAUACAUUUUACUGUUUUGUAUUAAGCUAAUUCUUCUGAGUAUAACAGUACCUCCCCAUGUACAGGUUUUAUGAUUGUUUGUUUUUUAAAGUUACAGGGUCAAAUAUAAGGCUUGCAUUUCUGUUUUUUCACAUUGAAAUUUGCCAGAUUGGUUAUGUUGCCUUUGAGAGCGUAUGGCAGCCCAGAAAUGAGAAUUACCCCCACGAUGGCGUACCAUUUGCAAAAGAAAGUAGACAACCAAAGGUAUUGCAAAUGAGGUAUAUCCAGUCUUUUUUAGUAGCCACUUAGUCACAAACACUGGCCAAAAUUAGCGUUCAAUUUAGUUUUUGCAUCUUUCACAUACAAACAAAUAUGAUCACUACAUUUGGCCAGUGUUUGUGGGUACUGUUUUACUUGUAAGACAUCGCUGAAUGCAAAUAUGUGUACUUUAUUGCAGGAAGAACUAACAGUAUUAUGACAUUCACAGUUAAAAUGCCAAAAUAACUAAAUUUCUUACAUUUAUUUAUAUUUUAUUCAUAUUAAAUUAUGUUUCAUAUAUAAAUAUUGGAUGUGACAUGAAAGCAAAAUUCCAGGUUUUGUUUACGUUUUGAUCACAACUUGUACAAUUGACUCAGCUAAUUGAAGUGGUCUGGGUGCUGUGAAUUUAGUGCUGCAAUGUAAACAUUGCAGUUCCAGAGAACUGCAAUGUUUACAUUGCAGCACUAAGUCUGCCCUCUGUGGCUGUCUACCAGAAAGCCACUAGAGGGCUUCCAGAAUCCAAAUGGACUUUGGGUCCAUUAGCUGACGCUGAACGUCCUCACGGACCUCCAGCGUCAGAUUUUCCCCAUAGGAAAGCAUUGAAUAAUUAGGAGCAUGUACAGGGCCUGACCUGGCACAGAGGGACAUCGGCACUGGAUUCAGGUAAGUGGCUGAAGGGGUUUUAUCUCUUUCAGCCCCUCAGGAGGGGAGGUGUGAUGGAGGGGGCACUCCAGGAGCCUAUGGUGCCAGGAAAACUGGGGAGGCAGAGGGACACUGUUGUUAUGAAUACAGCUUUGUGUUCCUAACACUAUAGUGUUCCUUUAACUACAGCUCUGGCCAAAACCCCAACAUUUUCUCACAAUUUCUGUAACACUUUAAAAUUGUCAGAUUUGAACACCCUGCAUUCUACAAGCACAUUAUUACAUUCUAGAACAGAGAUUGUGAGAAUGCAGAUCCCCAGCUGUUGUAGGACCACCGACAAAUCAUCAUGGGAGUUACACAAUAGCUCAAGAUAUAUACCUUUUCACCAUUUAUGUUCUAAAACAUGGACAUAUCAUUAGCUGCCAAAGGGUAAAAGGAGUUAUGGAUUGUAAGUUGCCAAUGCCUGCUCUAGAAGCUUUCGAGUAGGGAAAAAAAAUUCUUGAAUAGUGCUGUGGCAGGACUGCCACAAGCAACAGUAAAAUCCCACAUACAGAACUAAUGCUCUGGUUAAGCUACCAGUCAUUUUUGAUGGAGGAUAUGGAAAAUGAAAUGUUAAUGAUCUUCCGUCUGUCACAGACUUGGCUUGACUUGCAUUUUCCCAGCAGCAGUGCGGUUUGCAUAUAUUGUACGCGUAAGAGAAAUCAGUUGUGUAGAACACACAGGAGGCGAAUUUCAAGAAUGCAGUAAAUCUAAGGAGUUUAUUCACUGAACAGUGAAUUGUGGUGAAUUGACAACUGAAUUGCUUCAUUUUGGAAAAACUAGCCAUGCUGGAUAACUAAAUAAAUGUAUAGUAAAAUGUUUCCAUCUCCUUGUUUUACCUUUAAUUAUGCAAUUCAGUUGUCAGGUCAACACAGCGGAUACACCCCAAACAUAUUCCUUUAUCAGCAUUCCGUAUCUCCCUUAUCCUGAUUUAAGAUGUUCUAUUACCAGUUUCAAGAACUCUGUUUUCAGUGAUGGUUUUUAAACUGCAGGGAUAAUAUAGCUACCCAAAUCUUAUCCAGUGGGCUUUCAUUACAUAUAAAUGCUAAUAAAAAGUUGUGAUCCUUGUUUGCAGGUAGCACGGUCCUCUAGGGCAAAAACAUGCACAGUCCUUGUAGUUGCAAAUACUCAGGCACUUUAUUUUGUAAAUCCACACAGGAUACAGCAGUUAAAUGAAAACAAAAGUAACAGAAAACCCUAUAAACAAAAACCUGGCUCGUCUGAGCACUAACUGACAUUAGGUCCCCUAUCUCUCAGGGUUAAACUAAACAAAACAAUAGUGGUUUCACCAACCUAGAGUCUUUGUCCACUCUCAGCACUCCAGUAUUUAGCCAGCCUGCUGCUUCCAGCCUUUCAGAGAGAAAAAGAACAUUCUCCCUUACCUGCCUAGCAGGGAGGGAUUUUAUUCCCACUUGCUGCAGCCGAUUACCUACAGCUGAGCAGUAGGUUGGAGACAGUCCAAAACCCUGGGCUGGAUCUAAGUCUUCCAAGAAAACCGCUAAGCUGCGGAGUGGAGCACUGGCCCACCCUGCUCUCCAAAUGCUCCACCCCAGGGGCCCAUAACUAAACAAUGCUUUGUGUAACACACACAAACUACACAUACUCCCCCUGGGGUUAAAAAUCAUAUGCCUCUCUGAACAAUUCUGUCGAGAUAUAGACUCCCUCACAGACCACCCCAUUCACCUUAUCACAUAUCCCCCUCCCCAGCUCAGACCCAUCGGGGCGAGCGGCCUGGGACCAUAAACAGUGAACUCGGGAGAGGCCAUCCGCAUUACCUUGGGCAGUUCCGGCCCUGUGAGCAAUAGUAAACUGGUAAGGCUGAAGACUUAGGAACCAUCUAGUCACCCUGGCAUUCUUUUCUUUGUUAUGCCUCAUCCAUGUUAAAGGAGCAUGGUCCGUGAUCAGUGUAAAACAUCUCCCCAGUAAGUAAUAUCUCAAGGAUUCCAAAGCCCAUUUUAUCGCCAGGCAUUCCUUUUCCACUACGGAGUACCUCUGUUCAUGGGGAUUCAUUUUCCGGCUCAGAUACAUGACAGGAUGUUCCUCUCCUUCAUGUACCUGGGACAGAACCGCGCCAAGGCCCACAUCAGACGCAUCGGUCUGUACCACAAAUGGUUUAGUGAAAUCCGGAGCCACCAAAACAGGGUCAGCACACAAGGCUCCCUUCAAGACUUGAAAGGCAUGCUCCGCUUCCGGGGUCCACUUAACCAUAAUCGGGCCUUUUGCCUUAGUAAGUUCAGUCAAUGGGUUGGCAAUGGUAGCGUACCCAGGGAUGAACCUACGAUAGUAGCCGGUUAAGCCUAAAAAAGCCCUGACUUGCUUUUUAGUUACAGGACGUGGCCAACUGGUGAUGGCUGCUACUUUGCUCUCUUGUGGUUUAAGGAGCCCCCGCCCGAUAGUGUACCCCAGAUAUUUUGCUUCUUCUAGCCCUAGAGAACACUUAGCAGGGUUAGCUGUCAAACCGGCAGCCCUUAUACUAUCCACAACUGCCUGAACCUUCAUCAAGUGGGUUUCCCAGUCCGCACUGUGAAUCACCACAUCAUCCAGGUAGGCGGCUGCAUACUGUCUGUGGGGGUGAAGUAUCUUAUCCAUCAUACGCUGAAACGUUGCUGGGGCACCAUGCAACCCAAAUGGUAGCACUUUAUAUUGGAACAACCCAUCAGGGGUAGAAAACGCGUUUUCUCUUUUGCUUUCUCAGUCAGGGGUACCUGCCAGUAUCCCUUGGUGAGGUCCAAGGUGCUCAGAUAUCUGGCCUUACCUAAUCGCUCUAUUAGCUCAUCCACACGAGGCAUCGGGUAGGCAUCAAACUUAGAGAUAUCAUUUAGCUUACGGAAAUCAUUACAGAAACGGAUUUCCCCAUUUGGUUUGGGCACUAACACUAUUGGGUUGUUCCACUCACUUUGUGAUACUUCAAUCACCCCCAACUCAAGCAUCUUUUUAACCUCUGCACUAACCGCUUCACGUCUAGCCUCAGGUAUCCUGUAGGGCUUCAGAUUGAUCUUCUUCCCAGGUUCAGUUAGGAUAUCAUGCUUGAUUAUAUGCGUUUUUCCUGGUAUUGGGGAAAACACAUCCCUAUUUUUAGACACAAACUCCCUGACUUCCUGUUUCUGAUGGGGGGCAAGAGUAUCAGCGACAUGCACCUCCGGACCCUGCUCACGAGUGGCUUGAGUAGGUUUAUCUCUGGUCACGAUGAGAACCUCUCGUUCUACCCAUGGCUUCAAUAAAUUUAUAUGAUAUGUCUGUUCUGGCUUCCGUCUGCCUGGCUGUCUUACUUUGUAGUUCACGUCACUGAUCCGCUCAGUGAUUUCAUAUGGCCCUUGCCAGCUGGCUAAGAAUUUGCUUUCUACCGUGGGAACAAGAACUAGAACCCUAUCACCUGGUUUGAAGACCCGUAGCCUUGCGUUCCGGUUAUAGCUUGCUUGUUGGGCUCUCUGGGCCUUUUCCAUGUUUUCCCUAACUAUGGGAAUUACCGCUUCGAUCCGCUCUUGCAUUUGCGCUACAUGCUCUAUAAGACUGUGAUGGGGGUAUGCUCUUGUUCCCAUGUUUCCUUGGCAACAUCCAGUAUGCCUCUUGGAUGCCUACCAUACAUUAACUCGAAAGGUGAGAACCCUGUGGAAGCUUGCGGGACUUCUCUAAUAGAAAACAUCAGGUAGGGUAUGAGAUAAUCCCAAUUUUUUCCAUCCUUGUCUAUCACCUUCCGCAGCAUAGCCUUUAGAGUUUUAUUAAACCUCUCCACUAAUCCAUCAGUUUGCGGAUGGUAUACCGAGGUUUUCAGCUGCUUGAUUCUGAGCAAUUUGCACAAAUCACGCAUGAUUUUUGACAUAAAAGGGGUUCCCUGAUCUGUGAGAAUUUCCUUAGGUAUACCCAUCCUGCUAAACAUCAUCAGUAACUCCCUUGCAACAUUUUUAGAGGUGGCAUUCCGUAGAGGUACUGCCUCUGGAUACCGUGUUGCAUAAUCCACAACAACUAAAAUGUACUGAUGUCCUCUUGCGGACCUAGGCAACGGCCCUAUCAGGUCCAUUGCUAUUCUUUCGAAUGGAACCUCUAUGAUGGGAAGGGGUACCAAUGGACUACGGAAGCCCUUAUGCGGAGCUUUCAGUUGGCAUUCUGGGCAGGAUUUACAAAACCUCUCUAUUGCCGAAAAUACCCCUGGCCAAUAGAAUCGGGUCAGAAUUCGUUCCCUCGUUUUUUCAAAACCAAGGUGCCCACCUAACACAUGGCUAUGGGCUAGUUUUAAAACAGUGUUUCGGUGAGAUUGGGGAACUAACAACUGUUCUGCCUCCUCUUCCCCCUUUUUCUCUACUCGAUACAGCAGAUUAUUUUUCACCAUGAAAUAAGGAAAGCUCAAGGGCUUGUCAGGGUCCGCCCUUGUACCCUCCACUAUUUGCACAUUCUCUCUUGCAGCUGUCAAGGACUUAUCUUCCCAUUGGGCUGCUCGGAAGUUACCAGGGGGGACUCUGAGAUCCUGAAACUCCACUUCUUCUAUAGGGUCUUCAGUAUGGGGAGGUUCUACCUCAUUACCCAGGCACACCAAGGGUGUCUCUUGCUCGUCACAUUCUAAAUCGGAGAAAGGAAAAAUAUUUUCUAUACACUCUACCCCGGGUAGCUCCUCAGAGCGCAUUUUUGGAUGAGCAGAGCACUUUUCCCAUAGGCGGCAGAAAUGGGGAAAGUCCCUCCCUAAUACCACAUCAUACGGUAAUAGGGGCACUACCCCUACAGAGCAUUUAACCUCCCCUACCUUGGUGCCAAACUCAACCUCUGCCGUGGGGUAUGUGUGGGUGUCACCAUGUAUACACACAAUAUCAAUCACUUGUUUGGUGUCUAAUUUCCCUGGCUGGAGCAGAAAACUUUUUAUCAAGGUAACCUCACUCCCUGAAUCAAUUAGAGCUUGUACAUUCUUUCCUUCCACCCUCACCAUUAUUAAAUGUGUUGCAUUAAUAGCACUAGUCACCACACACAUCUUUGAGCAAGUCAAUACAGUCCUAUGCAGAGCCCUUGUCCCUACAUCACACUGCAUGGGCUCUUCAUUCUCUGGACAGCUGCGUGCAAAGUGUCCAAGCUCAUGGCAUUUAAAGCACCGGAGUUGUCCCUCAGCGUGGUCUUGUAGCCGUAAUGGAGCUGGUGGGGACCUUCUGCCACCCCGGUCACAUGGUUCAAGGUUCGGUAUAAAGUUUUGUCUUUUGUUUCCCACUUUCCCGCUUAUCCGGUUGUUAGCCGGUCGGGACUUCUGAUGAGGAUCAAUACUGUAUGGCUCCUUGGCAACCAAAUACCUCUCAAUCAGGCACAUCAUUGCUUCUGGAUCCUGAGGGUCCCCUUGGCAGACCCAUUGUCGCAGUCCUGUUGGCAGGUGUCUGAGAAAACGGUCCAUCACAACCAUUUCCACUAUCUUGGUAGCAGGGUUGCGCUCUGGCUCCAGCCACUUCUGAGCGAGCCUGAGCAAUCCAUACAUCUGGGCUCUGGUAGGUUUACUCACAUCGUAUGCCCAAUUAUGAAAUCUGUGGGCUCGAAUGGCUGGUGUUACGCCAAUGCGCUUUAGAAUUUCAGCUUUAAGUUGCUUGUAAUCCUGGAUCUGGUCAGAAGGUAGGUCUUCAUAGGCUUUUUGGCACUCCCCACUCAGGCAUGGAGCUAGAAGCCCCGCCCAUUGGCCCAGUGGCCAUCUUUCCCGGGCAGCAACCCUCUCGAAAGUGGUGAGAUAAGCCUCCACAUCAUCUGUCUCUGUCAUCUUAUGCAGGAAGUCUGUGGCACGGAUACGGGAUCCCCUUUCACCAGGGGGGCUCCCUGCAGAUGGCAAUAUCACUCUCUGCAACACCUCAGUAAGGGCAGCUCUAUCCAUCUGCUGGGCUUCCUUCAGGUUCUCAACCUGGUUAACCAGUAGACGAUUUGUUUCCUGUUGUACAGCGGUUGCCUGUACCAGAGCUUUCACCAGCUCCUCCAUUAUAGCACCAAGCAGGUAACAGUCUUAAAGGUACGGUGCUACUUGUUUGCUUAACAGGUCUGCAAAAAUAAAAGUCCUCAAGCAGACUACCAAAUGACUGGCACACCCACAGACCCUCACUGUGCUACUAUGCCCGCAUUCUCCACCAUAUUGUGAUCCUUGUUUGCAGGUAGCACGGUCCUCUAGGGCAAAAACAUGCACAGUCCUUGUAGUUGCAAAUACUCAGGCACUUUAUUUUGUAAAUCCACACAGGAUACAGCAGUUAAAUGAAAACAAAAGUAACAGAAAACCCUAUAAACAAAAACCUGGCUCGUCUGAGCACUAACUGACAUUAGGUCCCCUAUCUCUCAGGGUUAAACUAAACAAAACAAUAGUGGUUUCACCAACCUAGAGUCUUUGUCCACUCUCAGCACUCCAGUAUUUAGCCAGCCUGCUGCUUCCAGCCUUUCAGAGAGAAAAAGAACAUUCUCCCUUACCUGCCUAGCAGGGAGGGAUUUUAUUCCCACUUGCUGCAGCUGAUUACCUACAGCUGAGCAGUAGGUUGGAGACAGUCCAAAACCCUGGGCUGGAUCUAAGUCUUCCAAGAAAACCGCUAAGCUGCGGAGUGGAGCACUGGCCCACCCUGCUCUCCAAAUGCUCCACCCCAGGGGCCCAUAACUAAACAAUGCUUUGUGUAACACACACAAACUACACAUACUCCCCCUGGGGUUAAAAAUCAUAUGCCUCUCUGAACAAUUCUGUCGAGAUAUAGACCCCCUCACAGACCACCCCAUUCACCUUAUCACAAAGUGUAUUCACAUCAAAUAAGGAGCUGUACAUGUGGUCACAACACCUUAGAUAUCAGAAUUAUUUAGCCAUUACCAUUUCACAAAAAAUACUCUCUGAAAUCAUUCAUCCAAUAUAUGACAGGUGCACAGUCGGAUUUGCCGGCAUAUGCGCUAACCUUACCCCAACCCCCAUUAAAACACGGACACAGGUUAUACUGUUGGAAAUAAUUUGUCCACAGCUUUAUUAAAUUAUUAAUAAAUAAUUAAGGAAUAACAAAUGGGGUCAUUGCCAACAAAUCUUAAUAAUGUUAACCUCCCCAUAUACAUAACAUACCCCUAGCAAUGACCCCACAAUAAUAACAAUAGAUAACAAUAUAAAUAACAUGUUAACACAGAAACUGGCCGUCCAAUUUGACCACAUUUCCACCAGGUUAAAUUGUAGGGGUGUACCGAGACACCGCUACCCACCAUAUCCAUUGUAGGGGUGUACCAAGACACCGCUACCCACCAUAUCCAUUGUAGGGGUGUACCAAGACACCGCUACCCACCAGUUCCAGUGUAGGGUGUACCAAGACACCACCACACCCCCAGGUUCGGAGCCACCGACGGGCUCGAACCUACCAACCACGUGCAACACUGCCCAAUCCACACUAAACCUCAGGAUGCCCACUUUCUCCUCCAUCUACCCUCCGAUUUAACCAGGCCAUUCCCCGCCACAGCUCAGGACUUGACACCUAAAGCUCCUGAGCGACCCCCACCACACCGGAAUAAGGCCUGUUGAAUGCCUUCCUGAAGGCCCAAUUUAAACAGAUCACACCUUACAUCCGAAAAUGUACCCCAUCCCACCUGGAGUACCCAGGGAGCUUUCCUCCCAAUUCGUUGUGUCUCACUGUUACACCGCCCCCACAUCUGAUAAAUACCGCCAUCAAUUUUUUAUUAAGUCGUCCUCGACACCGAGCUACCACGGCCGGGUACGUAGUAUGUCUCCAAUGUAACCAAGGAACCAUCUCGGACCGCACCACCACCACACCCGUGGCCAGCUCCCAUAGCUGGUCCACCUCCCUCUGCCUCCACCUGAUCAAUUCCUUUUCCGGGACCAUGCCAAUAUCCAGAAUGUCCUGGAAAGUACCCCUUGUUACCUCCCGGAAAAAUUUCUCCCCUAAUGUCUUGCCACCAAAAUCCCUGAAAAACAAAACCACUCCUGCUCCACCAAUUUCAAAGGAAAGCCCAGUUACGUUUGAACUGAAACGCGGCUCCCAUCUGUGCCCCUUAGAUAUAAGAAUGACCCACCAACCAUGUCACCAAACCUGAAACGAAAGUAAUUAGCGACACGGCAUAGCCCCAAACACAAACCCAUACGUCCAUAGCCAUUAAACCAAAUAGACUGGCCUGAAACAGGACUUAAACCGUACUGACUCCCACCUGCCUAAAUGUUUCCCUAGGUCCUCACUUAAAACCAGGUGGGGUGCCUCUGUUACUGCCAUCACCUGGGAAGAAUGGGUCCCAAAGUGCCCGGGAUCCAAACCCAACAUUGUCAAACCCCUUCGAACAAACACCUGCGGGAAUUGAAUCGUGACAGCACCGAUCUGUCCCCUUUUACCAGUAAGCCACCCGGGAUGUCCGGGCAAAGCUCCAAGUAGCAUGAUGCGCUUAACACCGGGCGUACCCCUGACCCCGGCAGGGAAUAUAGCUUUACCAAACCUCCUUUACCAGACACAUUCGUUCUUGAACAACCCUACUGAAUCGUUACCUUAACCGACUAAGGUUCGACAACCAAGUGUAGAACUCCCCAACACCUGCCCGAAGGCACUCACCAGUUCCCCAAUCCAAAUUGCCCCAAGCCUCCGAGAAGGCCACCGCAAGCAAACUCACUGCAAAAGUAGGGUAAUACACCACCAGGCGUUGCGUUACCCAAGGAAACCCGCCGCCCGGCACCGACAUAUUUCAUAUCUCUCCGUAAGACCCGCGAUGCCUGACGGAUGUGACAACGUUCCGUCACUUCCUCCCAAUCAGUCAGUUUAAACCCUAACGACAAUGCCACCAUGCUCCUGUCCAUUGCUGAUGGAGCUAACGCUGAACAAACAAACGGCUUAGGAACCACAGCAAGGUAUCCCUUCGCCCCUCCUUUGACUGGGCCCCCACAGUGAAACCAACCGCCUUGUCCCACAUAUCUCAAACGUUCACAUAGGCAGUCCCUCUGCCCGGUGCGAUAGGAUUCUGUAUCGAUCCUCCAAGCAUGGCGUCUCGAGCUGCCACAUUUCCUCCAGACUGGACAGUCCCUCCUCCCGCGCCCCCUGGGGCCGCCAUUCGCAGCUUGUCCCCUUGUGCGCGAGCCAAGUAACCAGCCCCUACCUUCCGCCAACCAGGCACGUGGCGUGCCUGCACCCGAUACCUGAACAGUGAUACGAAUCGCCGCCAUCGGCGUACCUCCUGAACCGAGGACCCGGCUGGAUGGUAAACCACACGAACCCCGCCGUAUUGUGCGUGAAUUAUGACUUUUCAUCCCUUAAUCCUUCACCUUUUAGAGCCACAGCCUCUCCCAAUUGAAAUAACUCAAAAGAUGCCAACGUCGAAUAAGAGGACUUACCUUUCAUGCCUCCCACCACCGCUCUGCGCACCACCUGCCUUCCAGGUAUGCCCCGGAAUCUAUGUUCCCAGAGGUAUCUGUGAACAACUCGAUACCACCCGCAAAGGCUCCACAAGUAGCCUUCGCCAUGAAAUGGCUACCGACCCAGUCCUCGCGACUAACCCGACAUGCAACUUGAAACUGCCUUAUGAACAACUGCGAUUUCUCAGUGACCUUCUUGGACCUGCGAACCUUCAGCCUGAACUCCCGAAGUGCAGUCAACUGAACCCCAGGAAAUCGACACUCACCUACCACCGAAACAAUUUCCAGUCCAAGCAAAGACGUGCGGUAGGAUUCCCGUGACCGUAAGGUAUGUCCACAACGGCCCGGCCCAGCCGAGCCCACACAGCAAGCUAUCUUACAGAUAAUGUACUAAGGAACCCCUUUCUGAUUCCUUUUUCACCUCCCACUCCCAGACGGAUCCAACUUCCCGAGUAGGAACAUGAAUGGAACUGCCCCUUGGCAAGUAGAGGUUACCAAUAGGAACCUGCAAACAUGCAACCCAAAAGAUGGAAGGGUCGCCAAUAAUCGAACGCGUCCUGUUCCCCCAAACCAACUCGACGGCAAGGCCGAAUGAUGCCAACGAUACAGAACAGUUCCGCGGCGAUGUCCUCAUUUACCGAUGUCCCUUUUGGGUGCGAUAAGUUUUGUAUUGGACAGAAUUUGCCCGCCCAUUUCUAGGGGACCACCCCCCCAUGGAGACACCCACAGGUCCGCUAAUGGCGCGGAAGUUCCCCCAUGGACUUGAUAUUCGCCCACCACUUUUCCUGGUCCCUCGACUUUGAAUGGAAUAGCGUAAACCCCCUCAACAAUCUCAGCCAUAAAACUAGCGCAUUCAUGGGAGGCUUACUGCCUUAGCCACAGCAGCAAUGCACUGAUCAUCACUGGUGCCGCUCCGAGCCGCAACCGCGGGGCUGAAGCCCUGCCGAGUACCCUUCCUGCCUUAGGUUUUCCUUUUUUGACGCGUCAGUUGACACCGUGACUCCCACCGCCUCCGGAACACCCGUAUCGAAGCCUACCCGACGGUCCCCAGUUGUACUGACCUUUCUUCUGUCCAGCCAGGACAGCACCUCCUCGGGGUGCGCCGUCAGCCCCCGGAAAGAGCGCAUUUCCUGCACUAUCAUUAGGAACCACCCCUUUUAAAUCAAUGAACUCCUCGAGCGGAAGACAGGAAUUUUUUAUAUAUAUAUAUUUAUUUUUUUUAAAUCCCCUUUAUCAAAUCUUAUCCUCCACCUUCAAGUGCCCCCCAAUGUCCCCGCGAAGGACACGUGCCCAUUUUGUUGUGCCACGCCUGGAAUAUUGCCACACAUCUAACUGUUCUCCUGCCCCGUCAGAUGUCCUCGGUACACCGUAUUCCCCUUCCCUUACCCGGCACGCCGUCACCACCACCCUUACUUCGGCCUCCCGACUGCGCUCUGGUGACCCCACCCUUCGGCACUGCGGGGACGGCCCCUUUUUUCCUUGAUCAUGACUCUAAAAUGAUUUAUGCAAUUUAAAAAAGUGUGGUGUGUUUAUGGACUCACCGCCCGAACCUCCGUCUGCGCUGUCCUUCCAUCCACCUUGCCAGGCUCUGGAGUAUCCGGUGGAUGCCGACUCCUGCCCGCGCUGGUCCAGCCUCAAGCCCGUAGAAGUAACACUCCUCGACCUGCUUCUCCAUCCCUCAUCCGACCUCCCGCUGCUGCUGUGCCUGUCAUUGUCGUUGCGCUGCUCUCUGCCGUACUCACACCUGCUGAUGCUCCUCCUGUGUUCCUGCUCCUGAGAACACCCCCCAGGGGGCUCCCGCUUGCCUCUGUGCCUUACGUCCAUUUCCUCUCGUCUGCCCUCUGCUUGCAGUACCUGGCCUCUCCCAGGCCGCCUCAUCCACUUGUGGCCCCUUUAAUUAAUCCUGGUUGCUGGCCUUCCCCUCCAUAGCUGCUCUGCUGUGCCUGUGAAGACACCGCCUGCUGCUUUCACUAUCCGCUUCCUUCACCUCUGACCUGACCCAGGCCCCAUCCAGGGCCGCCUCCGUCUGUGUCCCGCCGACCUGGACCCCCCCGCCUGCCCAUUGGUGGGGGGGGGACGACCGCUUUUACACUGCUGGGCCCUUGCUUCAUUCCCCCUGUCACUCAGGUAUGCCACCAGGGGCAGACUCACCAGGACGCCUCUUGCAGCUCUUCCUGCCUGGCGGCCAUCAUGUCAUGCUGGAUUCCGCCGUCCUUUGUGCUUUCCCGCCCCCCCGCCUUAUUGCAGGGGGCGCUCUUACUGUGCGGCCUCAUCCUGACCUGCCGUCUUGCCUGACCGGCGCCGCGUCGAACAUACGGCGCCAGCCGCCCUCCAACUCCUGCCUGCUUUCUGACCUCAUUCUCAGCCUUCCCCUUGACGCCUCCUGACAGGCUCACGGGCUGCCGAACUAACGAUGUCACUCACAGGCUGCCGCUGGGGCGUCCUCGCUCUCCUUGCUGGCCUCUGUUCCACCGCCGCGUGGGGGGGGGGGGUAGCAGAUGUGCUCGGGGCCCCCCAGCUGCUCCUGCAGCCACCAGACACGAUUCUGCCACAACCUUUGUGACCAGGAUGGUGGCUUGCUUGGAGUUCUGUCUGAGGCUGAUGGGAGUGAGCAUGCAGCAGCAGCAGCAGCUCACUCCAGCCUCUCCUGUACCUCCAUGCUGUCUCCUGUACCUCCAUGCUGCCUCUGUUCUUCUAUGCUGCCUCCAUGCUGCAGAUGGGAGUGAGCAUGCAGUAGCAGCAGCUCACUCCAGCCUCUCCUGUACCUCCAUGCUGUCUCCUGUACCUCCAUGCUGCCUCUGUUCUUCUAUGCUGCCUCCAUGCUGCAGAUGGGAGUGAGCAUGCAGUAGCAGCAGCUCACUCCAGCCUCUCCUGUACCUCCAUGCUGUCUCCUGUCUCAGUACUGCCUGUUCUCCAUGCUGCUGAUGGGAGUGAUCAUGUAGUAGCAGCUCACUCCAGCCUCUCCUGUAUCUCCAUGCUGUCUCCUGUCUCAGUACUGCCUGUUCUUCUAUGCUGCUGAUGGGAGUGAUCAUGUAGUAGCAGCUCACUCCAGCCUCUCCUAUACCUCCAUGCUGUCUCCUGUCUCAGUACUGUCUGUUCUCCAUGCUGCUGAUGGGAGUGAUCAUGUAGUAGCAGCUCAUUCCAGCCUCUCCUGUAUCUCCAUGCUGCCUCCUGUCUCAGUACUGCCUGUUCUUCAUGCUGCCUGUUCUCCAUGCUGCCUGUUCUGCUAUGCUGCCUCCAUGCUGCUGCCUUCUCCCUCCAGGGCAGGCAGCUUUCACAACUGACAGGUAAGCUUAGGUUCAGUUAAAAUGGCCACUUCACAUAAUGGCUGGUAUAAAUACUCCCCUUAUGGCUCCGCCCUACCCAGCAUGCUAGCUGUCACUAAAUUCCUGUGGCUGCUAUGCCUACCUCCUGGCUCUGUCAAGGCCUAUUCCUCUUAGCUGCGCUGAUCCAUGGGCUACAUUUUUAUUGAUAAGCGUGAUUAAGUGGCAACUUUGGGUCCAAAUGAAUCCAUAUGUUUUUGUCAAUUCUCUAGGGAUUAGUUUGAUUAAUCGUGGAGGGACUGCACCCACAGAAGCCUUUCUCCAUAGCCCCUAUGAUAAGCUACAGUGGUUAUGGUGCUUGAAGUGCCCUUUUAAUAAUAAAAGACAUAUACAUAAACAUCUUCAUUUAAUGCAACAAAAUAUAUGCAAUCUGACACUAAUAGACCAAAAGUUGAGAGAAUCUUUUCUUCUAUCCCUUGUGGAUUGCUUCUAAAAGGGCAAAUGGGUUAAUACAUUUAUAUCUAGCACAUGCAGGGCCAGACUGGGAAAAAAAAUAGGCCCGGGCAUUUUUUAAUCAGAGCGGCCCCCUAAGAGGGGGCGGGCCAGAGAAUGACAACACGCCCCCUCUCAAAGUGAGCAUGUUGGUUCAAUGCCCAGAGCCCUGCUGAAGAGCUCUGGCAUUAGAAAAAGGCCCUGAAUUUGUUCUGCGCAGCGCAAGCAAAUUUAAUAACAUGCUUGCGCUGUGUUUGCUUUUAAAUAGUCUCUGGUGUCUCCACAAGUGGGAUACCAGAGAACAAAAGGGCCAGGAAAGUGUAUGGUGCAUAUGUUUGGAGCCUGCUUGUGGGAUUGCGUGUGUGUAGAGUGUGGUGUGGUAUUGUAUAAAUAGGUCAAUUUAAUUUGUGUUUGUGGUGUAAUAUGUGUGGCUAGGGGUUGUAGAGAGUGUGUGUAUAGGGGGCAUAGUUUUAUAGGGGAUGCAGCGAGUGUAUGCAUAGGGGCUGAAGUGUGUGUGUAUAGGUGACGUAGUGUGUGUAGGGGUUGCAGAGAGGGUGUGUUUAGAGAAUGUUGUAUGUGUUUGCUGACAAGGAAUGUAGUGUGUGUGUAGGAGAUCUACUGUGUAAAUGACCCAGUGUGUGUGUGUGUGUAGAGGAUUAAGAGUGCAUAUAGGGUAAGGGAUCUAGUGUGUAUCUGGAGCGUAAUGUGUGUAGUGGUGCAGUGUGAGGGGUGCUGUAGUGUGUGUGUGUGUGUAUGUAUAUAUAUAUAUAUAUUUGGACUUAUUGUAUGUGUGAGGGACGCAGUGUGUGUAUGUAAGAGAGGUGCUGUGUGUGAGGGUGUUUUUAUCUGCUGUCACAUUCAAGGUUUCUAAUUUUCUUUGUCUGUUAACUCACUGAGGGUUAUUUUAUAUAUAUAUAUAUAUAUAUAUAUAUAUAUGUGUGCUGUAUAUGUGUGGGAGUGUGCUGUGUGUGUCUAGGGGGUGCUGUGUGUGUCUGGGUGCGCUGUGUGUGUCUGGGUGCGCUGUGUGUGUCUGGGGGUGCUGUGUGUGUCUGGGUACUGUGUGUAUCUGGGGGUGCUGUGUGUGUCUGGGGAUGCUGUGUGUGUCUGUGGGUGCAGUGUGUGUCUGUGGGUGCAGUGUGUGUCUGGGGGUGCUGUGUGUGUCUGGGGGUGCUGUGUGUGUCUGGGGGGUGCUGUGUGUGUCUGGGGGGUGCUGUGUCGGGGUGCUGUGUGUGUGAGUGAAUGUAUUUUUUUAUUUAAAUUUAAAUAUUUUUUUUUACUACUAAAAAAAAAAAAUUAAAAAAAUUUAUUUCCCCCCCUCCCUUCUUACCUUUAUCCUGGGAGGGGGGGGAGCCGUGCCGUUCUGCCAUGGAGGGAGGGGAGCCGUUCUGCCAUCCUUCCCUGGUGGUCCAGUGGUGAGAGUGAACUCUAACCUGCAGGUUAGAGUUCACUCUCGCGAGAUGAGCGUUGCCGCGGCAACGCUCAGAAUCCCGCGAGAGGACCGGCGGAGCUGCUUGUUAGAGCUCCGCCGGGUCCUCUCUCCUCACCCCCUCCCCUAUCAAAGAUCUCCAUCACCGGCCCAGAGGCAGGAUGAUGCGGCCGCUGGCUGGGUGAGGGAGAUCUUUGAUAGCGCUGGCCCUGCAGGGGCCGGCCGGGGAGAUCCCCUGCCGGCCUUGGCCCCACGGCCAUCGCGGCCCACCGGGCAUUUGCCCGGUAUGCCCGAUGGCCAGUCUGGGCCUGAGCACAUGGCAUUGGUUAACACAUUAUUUCUAAAAAUAACUAACUGUGGCAAGGAGUGUCUUAUCUGUGAAUUUCCCUUUUCUUUUAUAGGAAUACCCACUAUUUUUAAAGAUUAUAUUUUGUGAGAUUUCCAUUUCUGUAUUCACACUAAUUUCUGAGCCAAAUAACUCAGUGGGAUCUUUUAAUAAAUACCCCAUAGACUUGUGUUGCUGCAGUUUAUUGGAUUUCAAUGUAAAAGAAAAUGAAGCUCAAUAAUUGGUCUGGAUUAGCAUCAAUGUAAUAAAAAUGAUUCAGAUGAGAAUGUAUUAAAUUACCAGAAAAAAAAGUUGUUUACUCUAGCCAUUUUAUACAGACAUUUUCCAGUUAUUUAAAAAAAAACAAAAAAAAACCUUUCACAGUUGACUGCAUUUGACUGUAAUUUGAGUAUAUUCUCAGUCAGUCUUUAAAUGAUUAAUAUAUUGCCAAGGCAGCAAAUGAAAUAGAAAAUGGUUUUACAUAUAAAAUGUUUUUUUUUUUUUUGUUUCUCACUAAGUGUACUUUUUUGGGCACACUCAUGAUGCUGAUAGAAAAGACUGAUUCCUUUAUUCAAAAAGAUUUGUAUUAUUAAUAUAUUCCUCCUGAUAUUGUAGAAAACUCUGCCAAAUUUUUUAUAUAGUGCCCGCAUAGGUGAGUCUGUCUGCUAACAGUCGAAAAGUGAAAGGGGUGGGGAUGAGACAUAAGAAGUGAAAUAUGCAGUACAGGACAAAAACAUAAGAAAUGUGUUUUGUUUCAGUGUGGAUAUAGUUGUUAGGACUAAAAUUAUUAGUAAGAAUUUUUCAUACCUUCUAGUAGAGAGGUAUGUGCCAGUAUUGUACAUUGCAUCAUUGGUGACGGUUUCAGUCCAAAAACUGGUACAAAAUCCCUGCUCUGUGGGAUGGGGAUUCCAAAUUAUUACUGGCCUGAUAAGUCUGGGACUUAUGCGUUAAUGCAGCAAUGUAAUUCAACACAUAUCUGGCAAAGCCCCUAAGGUGACAGGCCUGAUUGUACCUUCAGUGGCUAGGGUUGAAGUCAACCAGAAGCUCUCAAUUGUAGGCACAGUCAUCUAGUUCAAUUGAAUAUCUGAUAUGACCUUGAGAUUCUGCACAGAAAUUCUCGCACGUCAUGCUGUCACUAGUAAAGGCUUCUGGGAAAAGACAUUGACAAGACAGUUGACAUUGGAAUUUCCUUUCAAGUGUUGUCUUUUGUUAACUUUUGUUAACCUUGACAAUUGCUCAUAACAUGAAGUAUUCCCUACAAUAUCUUUUGAUUGUGUUGAGUUAUGGAAUUUUGUUGUAAAGAGAUGGGAAUUAAGUGGAAAACUGAAGAUGGUGAAGGAGAAAGCUGGACUCACUUGAUAUGAUAUGACAGCUUGGGGUAGUCUGUAAGCGGGAGAUGACAAGUAUGAUGAGACAUGGUUCUUCAAAAUCAUGAGGAAAAAAGGCAGGAUUGUGGACUGGUUAAUAAUAAUACAGGAUCAAUGUAUUAACCAUGAAGCGCAGCAUAUUUAGUUGUUGGUUUUUUUCCCUUAAAGGCGUAAGUAUAUUUUGGAGGAACUAUGGACCAGAUAACAGAGUUGUGGGUUUGCAAACGAUGGUUAGGUGUUUUUUAAAAAAAACAAAAAAACACAUUUUUAUUAAUGGUAAAUAUUUAUCAAAUACUAUUGAAUGCUUGGUAUUAAUCAGUAAAUAAUGUAUAUUUCUCCAGGCUAACACACCUAUUAUAUUUUGGGGAAGGUUGUGUUCUUUAGAAUUCAUAGCAUAUGCUUCAUAUCUUCGAGUACCUAUCAAUUCUUCCUUCUCCAUCUGCCCUCGAGCAUGAGCGGGCCCCAGUGCAGAAUGCACUAUAUAUGAAUUGUUUAUGAUUCUGUAUUCAUCCACUAGAAUGGAACUGGAUACAAUAAAUCUGGUAAGACAUAGUCUUGAGUACAACACAGGACAUCACAAAUCACUGAGGCAAUGCCGCUCCAAGACAGCCCUGACAGUGAUCAUUCAGUUCAGUAGAAUUAUAUGUUAUUUUCAUGAGGAUUUCAAAGGGUCUUUCAUUGUUGAAGAUCUGAUUAGAACUAGCACUGGAAGCAUGCAAGGAUUUCCAUGUGUUUGACUAAGCCACAAUUCUUCUCUGCUGACACUAGGAACACAAAGUCAUUCUAACAGAAUGGCUGAAGAAUAAACUAAUGAUUGCGGUAGUUAUUAUGCUGCAUGCUUUUAUGUAUUCUUCAUCAUUUUCAGGUGAGUUUCUCAAACAGAGUGUUUGCAUCUAAAUAGCCAUUUACCAAAACAACAAGCACAUCUGUUUCUUCAAGGAUUUAAGUUACCGGUAACUAUUUGUGAAAUAUUUUUAAUCUUUUGAAGGUGAAGUUGAGCUGAAAAAUCUUUGUCCUGCAUAAGUUAGAUUAUUCUCUAUGUAGAAUUGUGAAGAACAUUGAAUCCAAUAUUAGUUGGUGCUAUUGUUGCUAAAAUAUGAUUUUGAUGACUUAAUGUUCCUUUAUUAUUGCAUUUCUUUUGUUCUAGCUUUGUGCAAUAGAAGUGGAAAACUAUUGCCUGUUAGUUACAUUAAAUUUUCAGAAAAGACCACCAGCCAUUCUGGUACAUUCGUGUAAUCAAUCAAUCCUUCCUUCACCUCUGCCUAUAUAAACACCUUUCCACAUUUCCUAUUGUGUCGGUGUAGAUUCCGCUAUCUUCACCUCCACCAAUAUAGGAGAGCAGGGAUGGCUGAUAGGUAGAUUUUGCUUUCAGCCAAUGAGCUGGCCCUGCACAGUAGGGCUUAGCUCAGUAGAGCUAAUGGAAGCUACUUGCAAGAGCUUCUGGCUCCAUGUGAGGCAGCAACGGGUAGGAUGUAGGGUGGAGAAAACAUUCCAGUUCUUCCUAACUAGAGGGUAUUUUAGCUUAUAUUGACCACUGCUUAGUGUGUUUAUUUAGUGGGAAAUGAGUGCAAGCAGAAGUUGUGUGUAGUUGCAGUCUGAGCCAGUGUUUGAAGAAGAUUAAAAACAGUUAUCUCAUAUACUUUUUUUAUGCCCUGUUGCUGGAUGUAACCAUUUUUCCUUACAGAUAAAUAGUGCAAUCGGCACAUAAUACUAGAUGUUUAUAUCAGCAGCAAUUGCUUCCAAAGAUGUUUAUGAUUCUUAUCAAAUCCUUUUCAAUGUGUAUGUACAGAUAGCCUGUUUUAAACCACUGAGAUGAGCUGAAGGGAUACUUUAAAUUAUCUGAUGACCAGAAUUCAGGGGAUGCUAAACACAAGGAAAGCAGUUACAUUAAAAAAAUGAAACUUAAUAAAAAAAUUAUUUGUGAAGAAGCAAAUUAUACUGAUAAGAUUAUCAAUAUUAAUUUAUCUAUUAUAUUUAAGAUCCAAAACAAAUUUUGUAAAAAAUUGAGACAGCGGUAUAUUCCAUGUUAUAACAAUUCUUGUUUUUGUUGUUUAUAUUAAGAUUAUCUCUUAACAGAACAUGCAGGGACUUGCAUACCUGAGAUUAAUGCAUUCUCUGCCAAAAACAGGUCAGCAGGCUAUUUCCCUUUGAAAAAAAUAAACCACUCAAAAUCUUUCUCAUGUUUCCAAGGUUUCUCAUGAGCUGGUCCAUUUCCUACAACUCACAUCAGUUAACUGCAAGUUCCUUAUCUACUGCUCAGUCUAUGUUGUUUUGAAUACAUGAAUAUAUUCAGUGAAGCUCCUAAUAAAUUAAUGUAGAACCUACAAUCUGAUACCAAAUUUAAAAAAGCCACUCCAUACUGGCACAGAUACUCAUCAAACCUCUUUAUAAGAGGUUUAGCUGUGACUGGAGUUUAAGUCUAUUAUGAAGAUACUGUCAAUAUUUUAUAGCAGCAUAUAACAUGGGGAUAUAUAAUAUAUUUAUAGGCAUUAAAACAACUUUAGCUCAAUGACGCAGUUUUUGUGUAUAAAUCAUGCCCCAGCAGUCUCACUGCUCAAUUCUCUACCAUUUAGGAGUUAAAUUACUUUUGUUUCUGUUUAUGCUCCCCCAGCUACACCCCCCUGGCUGUGAUUGACACCGCCUGCAUAAAACAUGUUUUUAUUUUCAGUCAGAUGUUAACUAACUUUAGGAUUUUUUUAUCUCCUGCUCUGUAAAUUGAACUUUGAUCACAUAAAGGAGGCUCCUACAGGGUCACAAAGCUAUCAACAGCACGAGAUAAUAUAUUCUAAAUUAAAAUGAAUGCGUGAUAAACUUAGUUUAAACAUUAGAAUUCUACAGGAAAUAUGAAGGGACACAUUGUAGCUCACAUGCAUAGAGGUGUGCCUAGGGCUACAUAAACAAAGUUAAUUAACUCCUAAAUGGCAGAACAUUGUUUUGGUGCUUAUAGUAUCACUUUAACUAGAGCUAACUCAAAGUGUGGACUUUACAUUAGAAAAUCAUUAAGUUGCCUAUCUGCUAUUUAGAGCUGUUUUGCUAUGUGUUUAUCCUGUUUUUGAGGUGUAGGAAUUCCUGGAAUUUGUAGGGAUGACUGUUUUAUAGAAAUCUAAACUUAUUUAAGUGAUGAACAGUGUUAAGUAUAACACAGGAGACGUAUACGGUUUAGGAAAAAACAAAAAAAGGAUAUGCUGUUAGGUUUGAAAGUCUCUCUCAUUAGUAAGACAAUCAGCCUUCAUGUCCUCUAAGUUGCCAGUGGUAAUCAAUAGCUGGGCACCAUCACUCUUGGUGUCAAGAAAUAUAUGCAUUCAUACAGAUUCACUUUUUCCAGGCUAUUUCCCUGUCAAUUAAAAUCACUUAAACUAUAAAGAAAAUAGUUAGUUACAUUGGUUGUUGUCUUUGAAAACAUUAAAUUGGCAUCACAACAUACAAAAAUGAUCUGCACAUUGGAUUAUAUGUAUUCUAUUGGAGAAUGCAGGACUGUGAAGUGUUACUGUUGUUGCUUAAAUAUAAACCAAUGAUAGCUGAUUUUUAAUAACAUUGCCAUUGGUAACAAUCAGUUCAGUAUUUAAAUUUUCAUGCCAAACAUCUGUUACUUUUAUUCAAUUUGCAUCACUACAGUUAUGCUAGUGUUAUUUAAUGUAUACCGUCAAGUGUGCUGGAAAACCCCCAAUCGACUUAUACUCGAGUUAAUGUCUGUAUUAUGGCAACUUAUAUUGCCAUAAUACAGACCAGGACCGCCGGGCUUAUUACAAGCCCGACGGUCCUGUUGGGGGCUGGCAGAGAGCUGUUACUUACCUUCCUGCAGCUCCUGUCAGCUCCCUUCUGUCUCCUCCAUUCCUGUCAUCUCCCCUGUCAGCUCCACUGUAAAUCUUGCGAGAGCCGCGGGGAACGCUCCGCACGGCCGCGAGACUUACAGUGGAGGAGAAGGGAGCUGACCGGAAUGGAGGAGAGAGAAGGGAGCUGACAGGAGCUGCAGGAAAGGUAAGUAACAGCUCUCUGCCAGCCCCCCUCCUGCACAGCCCAUGCACUGGACCACCAGGGAAUGAGAGCCCACCUCCCUGGCCAGCUAACAAGCAGGGAGGGGGGACGAAAAUAAAUAUAAAUAAAAAAUUAAAUAAUAAUAUAAUAAAAAAAUAUUAAUAAUAUAUAUAAAAUAAUAAUUAUAAUAAUAAUUAAAAAAAUAAUAAAAAUGCCCACCCCCCCACCAAGGCUCUGCAUCACAUACACACACUGCACUCAUACACACACACACACACACACACACACACACACACUGCACUCAUACACACACACACACACACACUGUACUCAUACACACACUGCAUUGAUACAAACACACUGCAUUAUAUACACACACACACACUGCAUUCAUUAUACACACACUUGAAAUAAAUAUUCAAUUAAUAUAAUUUUGGGGGGAUCUAAUUUUAUUUAGAAAUUUACCAGUAGCGGCUGCAUUUCCCACCCUAGUCUUAUACUCAAGUCAAUAAGUUUUCCCAGUUUUUUGAGGUAAAAUUAGGGGUCUCGACUUAUAUUCGGGUCGACUUAUACCCGAGUAUAUACGGUACAUCAUGAACACAUCAUGUUGAUCUUAGGGCCAAUCUUUGUAUUGUGAAUAUCCAUAUAUAGGUAGUGGAACUGCACUCAAACCCUCUCAGGAAUCCUUGGGUGCUAAUUUUUGGGGUAAAAUUAGGGAUCUCGACUUAUAUUCGGGUCGACUUAUACUCACACUGCAUUCAUACAAACACACUGCAUUUUAUACACACACACACACUGCAUUCAUUAUAUACACACACUUGAAAUAAAUAUUCAAUUAAUAUAAUUUUGGGGGGAUCUAAUUUUAUUUAGAAAUUUACCAGUAGCUGCUGCAUUUCCCACCCUAGUCUUAUACUCAAGUCAAUAAGUUUUCCCAGUUUUUUGAGGUAAAAUUAGGGGUCUUGACUUAUAUUCGGGUCGACUUAUACCCGAGUAUAUACGGUACAUCAUGAACACAUUAUGUUGAUCUUAGGGCUAGUCUUUGUAUUGUGAAUAUCCAUAUAUAGGUAGUGGAACUGCACUCAAACCCUCUCAGGAAUCCUUGGGUGCUGACCGGACCGGUCCCAGUACCAAGAAGGACCAAAUGUAGAAUUUAAAUGUAGAAAGUAAUCCAGGCACUCCAAAAGUCUUCCAAAAAGGGGCAAUUUUAUUGGACCCAAGCACCAAAGUACAACGUUUCGACCCUCAGGUCUUUGUCAAGCUAGCUUUUUGUCAAGCGAGCCUUUUCCAGGUCUUGAAUAGUUUGAAUGUAAAAAACAUUACAUGUAGUGUGCACGUCCACAUUUUACUGUUUUUUUUUUUUUAAUAUACAGUUACCUGUGUAAUGGUGUGCAGUGGCAAACUUGUUUGAGCUCUGUGCGAGGAAUAACUUAAUUGGCAACUGUUAAGUAUGCUAGUUCACAGUGUUCUCAUAUCUUCUUUUUCCUUCAGUGCAAUUGCUUUGGGUCAUCCUACAUUUAAAGGGUAAUUCAGACAUGGAACCUGGACUCACAGUGCCUGUAUCUCACUGAUAAGGCGGAAGAAGGCCAAAAUGAUCAUCAUGGUUUCCUGUCUCUUUCGUGCAGAAAGAUCUGCACCUCAUUUGUGGGUUGUAUUAGUUGGAUAUGCAACUAGCUAAAGAUUUCUCAGGAAUGGCAUAUGUAGGCAGAAAACUUUUUGAAACCUAAGGGGUACUAACAAAAGGGCAAGCCAUUAAGUUUUUUUUUCCACUAGUGUGAUUUUUGAAGUUUCUAAUUAAUUAGUUAUCUGUGAGGUAGGGUUUAUGGUAUUCAGCUAAGGAAUGCCAUAAAGACGAAGGGAUUUCGGUACUUUAAGAGGGAAUUUGGCUUUAACUAUUAAGCAUUUCAUUAUGAUUACAGAUUUUAUAUCCAACAGUGACAAAAUAUUCUCAUAGACGAAAGGAUGACCAGACGGUUAUUUUAUCCUUGCUUAUGGUUGUUGGUUUUACUUAUUUUAGAAGAUAUGUACAACAUUUUGGGUUUAUUUUUAAAGUUAAUUAUUAGUUUCGCUUUACCGAUGAUGGAUGACAUGCACUUUUUGGCAUUGAACCUUUACAAAUGUGCAAGUACUAAGUUGGUGCUUUUGUUUUGCCAAAAUGUUAUUUAACGCUUGGUAUUAACUGUUAGAGGACCAGUAAAUCUUAAUAAAAGACCUCAUAUAAUUGUUGAAAUGAUGUACUUUCAUUAACAACGUUACAUAAUAAGGAUAAUCUAUAAAAUCAUAGUUAUAGCUCUCCUGAGCUAACAGAAAUAAUGAAUCUUUAGUCAAGGAGAAAAUAUAUAUAUAUAUAUAUAUAUUUUCUUACAUUCCCUAUAAUUAGAAUUUUUAUGGAAAUAGAAAAUAUUCAAGGGGAAAGGGAGAGUCAUUCUUUCAAGGGGAGCAGUCUCAUCCCAGGAUUUGCAAAUUUCUCUUUACUGAUCCCCUAAAAUUACCAACUAUGUUACAUGAAUUCUGAAAAAUCUAAUUAAAUGUAGAACUCCAUAGAUAUAACUUGGAACUUGGCAGCACCAUCAUGGCUCCCUGUCAAUCAGCAUUAUUAAGGUCACCAUUUAUAUGGUUAGUAUGGUUGUAUUGAUUUAAUAGAGGGAGUGAAGGGAGAGGACAUGCAAAUUGCUAGACCAAGAACGGUGUGGAGGAAGGCAAGGAGUCUAUUUAAGUAGGGUAAUCAUGCCCCUCACACAAGUCCAGGCAAAGCCUUAAUACAUAUAUUUAUUUAUUAUUAAAUCACAUGAAAAAAAAAGUUAACAUGAGUUAUAAUUCUUCUACAGUGUUUUAUUGAAUGUUUUAAGUUUCAGAGAAGUAACAUUCCAUUUUAAGAUAGACUUUUUUCUGCAAUAUAAUACUACUGGGGAGGUGAAAAAGGUAUACCUUUAACUAGUUUACUAGUUGGUCUUGAGGGGACAUGUGGUUUGCGCCUCAUUUGAGCAUAGAGUAGUUCCAAUGAUCCCCCUAAUUGCUGCUUUUAUGCAAGUCAAGUAACACAAGACCAGAAAGCUCUAGGAAUGUGCUUACUACGAAUUCCACCCAUGGCCUAUCAGAGAUGAUGCCUGAAAUAUACAUUAAAGAUAACAGUUGGGUAUGGAAAGGAUUAGAUAUUUAGAAUCAGUUGAUGAUAGUGGUACAGAGCAAGUGCAGAGAUAGGGAGGAUGCAUGGAGAAAUUAGAGGUGGCAGGAAGAAGAGAUAAGAGAAUAGAAUAAGAGGGUAUAAGGUAAAGAAUGGGAAAUCCAAGUGGGUGAAGAUGAUGAUAACUGUAAAAAAAACUGGGGAAGAAGAGAACAUGAAAUAAUGUUGAGAUAAAAAGGAAACUAUACAAAAAAAAAGAGAGAAUAUAUGUACUGGGAAAGAUGAAUUUAUUGAGAUGAUGGUUGAUAGAUAACAAUGUACUUCCUCUGGCGGAAUGGAAUGGAUUCAAUGACAAAUAGCAUACAGUUAAAAAGGUUUAUCUGUUUAAGCAUUUUUAAUGUUGUGGAAGAUUUGAAAUUCUAUAUAAUUAAUUUUAUUUCCAUUUUAUUAUAUUGCACACCAUAUACAUCUUCAAUGCACCAUAAAUACACUAAAGCAAACACUUUAAUUGUGUCAAGCAAAUUCAGGUGUGUAGGAACAUGGGUUGAUGACAACUUGAUAAAUGCAAUGAUACACUUGGCGUGUGUUUCUAACAUAUACUCUUUGAAAAUCACUUUACUUUUAUGAAAUACAUUGCUAUUUUUAAUUCCACUCGAAUAUAAUAAAUCAACAUUUUUAAAGUUUAAAGGAAUGCUAUAGGCAUCAAAACAACUUUAGCUUUAUGGAGUGGUUUUGGUGUAUAAGUUAUGACCUGUAGUCUAUCUACUUGAUUCUCUGCCCUUUAAGAGUUCAAUUACUUUAUAUUUGCAGCCCUAGCCAUACCUUUUAUGCGUGUGACCUACGCAAUCUCCCUACACAUUUUCUGUGAAGAGAAUGGUUAACCAUCCUUUAUUGAACAGUCUGUUUACUUUAGAAUUCCUUAUGCUAUGUUAAAAGCCUUCACAAGUUUCUUAUGUGUGAUUAAAGCUCAAUUAGCAGAGUAGGUGAUAGAACGUCUAAAGUGAACACACUGUGCUGUUAGAUCUAAUUGAAAAUUAAAUCAUUCUUUCAUGCAAGCUGUAUGAGUCACAGCUAGGAGAGGUGGGGUUAAGGCUGUAUACACAGAAACAAAACUUAUUUAACUCCUAAAUGGCAGGGAAUUGAGCAGUGAUACUGCAGGGGCAUGGUCUAUACACUAAAACUGCUAAAUCAGUCACAGUUGUUAUGGUGCUUUAAAAGAUUUUUGACCAGUCAUCGUGGCCUGCAAAAACAUGAUUCCGACAAUACCAGAUAUAUUUUGCUCUGUACUCUAAUAUGAAGCGAUUGAUCACAGUUGUGAUACCUUCAGGAAAUAGGAAAUUCUAAAUUAAUUCUUAGAAAAAGUAGAGCAUUUAUGAGUCUAACUCUUUUUUCAUAAUGCUUGAAAAGUAUGUGUUUUAACCUAGAAAAUUGUUUACUUAAAAGUCCACGAUAAGGGAAAACAUUGCAACAGUAUCAUUAUUAUGAUUUUUUUUCUAAAUUAAUCAUGUUCUAUUUUAUGUUUUAUUCAUUUCUGCAUGUAAAUGUUCUAUUGUAUUUAUAUAUAAUAUUUGCUUAUUGCAGAUCGCUGGCAUUGGAGCAAAAGCCUUU